rnacentral:lncRNA from 1 species
UUCACUAAAUGAUACAAGCAUAUAUUUGGGGCAUUUCGUGUGCUCCGAUAAAAAGUUUCUUUUUUUUUUGUACUGAAGUGCAUGAAAGCUUCGCUUUAUAAGCUACCAAAUGAUCACCCUUUCUGUUAUGAAUAUGUCAAACAAUUAUUGUAUGAUACUACAAGUAAGGAUUAAUUUCAGGACGUGGCUAGCAGGCGCGCGAGCGCUCGUUGGUGGGAUCGAGCGCUCUUUCAAAUAUGGAAAGACCUGCUGGUGCGCCCGACGUAGCCCAUAAAAAAGGAAUCUUGUCUCACGUGCAUUUAUUUGGAGGUCCAAAAAGUUUAAAAAGCUAUAACUUUUGAUUUAAGCAUCGAAAUCUAAUUUCGUUUUCACAGCUGGAUUUCUCGCGACGAGUUCUUCAAAACUAGAUCUCAUAUAGAUAGGUUUCGUCGAACUUUUUUUUGAGGCAACUUUGGGUACGAUAGAGGCAACUUUAGUGCUACAGGAAAGCAACUUCAUUUUUUGCCUAGAGGACUGUCUAUUAGGUUGGUUUGUGUAAAAAUGCUAAAAUAAUCACAACUGACCUACCAUGGUUGCUCAGUUGCCUACCAUGGAUAUUCAGUUGCCUAUCAGUGAUGCCCACUUGCCUACAAUACUAUGAAAUUGACCUACCAUUGAUGUCCAGUUACCUGCUAUUGAUAAUUAGUUACCUAUCAUUACUGCUUAGUUGUCUAACUUGGCAAAUUAGUUGCCUACAAUUAUCUGCUUAUCAUUGUGUUUUUCCUAAGUUGCCUAAAACACUAUGAAGUUACCUAUCGGUGAUGCUCAGAUGACUGGCAUUUUUAGAUCGUUAUGAAACCUGAGUAUCACACAAAAAAGUUAGCUACUUUUGGGGUGUUUUUGUGCAACUCCAGUGCAUUCAACAAGCAACUCAUGUGUGUUUUCCAUCAUUAUAUCUGGAGAUUUCAAUAAUUUUCACGGGCAACUCAUGCAAAAAUUAUGAACAACUUGUGUAGGCUUGUGGGCAACUGUCUGAUCCGCCCCCUAUGAAACUUCUCAUCACCCCCUAUGCAAAUUAUCAUCUGUCCCUACUUAUGCAACCAGUCAACACCCAUGACAUUGCUAGCUAACACCCACGUGCUCGGUAGCGUUGGCCGAUAGACUCCCCCAAAAAAGGAAAGAAUAAUGCUAUCACACCAUCCAUCUCCACAUAGUUUCGAAAUUUGAAAUCAUGAUAGACAACUUAUAUCCCACAAAAACUUUUCAACAUUGUAGGCAAGUUAGGUCCCUUGAUGGACAACUUUCAUACUAUUUUAGGCAAUUGGGGUGUGUAGGCAACUUCGUAGCAAUAUAGGCAACCUGGUUUCUGAGGCAGGCAACUUAGAAGCCGUGUUAGACAACUUUCCACUCUGCGGUAAGCAACUUUCGCAGUAUCAUAGGCAACUAAACUAUCGACAACUUAGUUUUUGAUGUAUGCAACUCAACAACCAUGAUAACCAUCCAUUAGACUAUUGCACACAACUAUUAGUAGGCUAGUAGGUGAAUCACUAACACACACAAUGCACUUCAUCUAGCAUUAAAGUUGCUCCAGUUUAGCACUAGAGUUGCCUCAUCUAGCAUCAAAGUUGCUUUAAAAAAGCAUCAAAACAUAUUCAUAUGGGAUCUAGUUUUGAAGAGUUCAUCACGAGGAACCCAAUGAUGAAAACGGGUCAUAAUUCCAACAUGCAGUUUGAAAGUUAUAUUUUGGAAUUUUCUUGUACUGAAAUUAAUGCAUGUUAUGUCAUCGUUGGGUUCAUAUGGUUGGUCAGACGAGUUUAUGAAAGAUCAACAUACUAUAGUAGAUGAAUCUUUCCAUAUAUGGGCAACUUAGGAUGAUGUCAAGCUACUCGUUAGUCACGGCACGUAAAUAUUGUGCCCUUGCUUAUUAUUGUUUUCCUAAGUUGCCUACAAACACUCUGAAGUUGCCUAACAGUGAUGCUUAGUUGCCUGACAUUACUUUUUCAGUUGCCUACAAUACAUUGAAAAGUUGUCUAUAAGUGUUACUAAGUUGCAUAUCUAUGAAACUAAGUUGCUUACCAUACCAAAAAGUAUUUUAUGCAACUAAGGAUAAUGUUAAACUAUUCGCUAGUCAUGGCAGGCAGCUUAGGAUAAAUAUUAGCCUAGCUCGAAAACUAAAUUGCCUACAAUACUAUCAACUUAGAGGCAAAACUAAACUAGUUAUGGUAGGAAACUUAGAGGUGAAGCUAGCUAACUUCAAAGGGAUUUUCGAUGAUACACAGUCAUCCUACGCAGACUGGCAGUAAGUUGCUUUCCUAUAGCACUGAAGUUGCUUCCGUUUCACCCAAAGUUGCUCAUAAAAAAAGUUAGUCAAAACAUACUCAUAUGGGAUCUAGUUUUGAAGAGCUCGUCGCGUGGAACCCAGCCGUGAAAACAAAUUUGAGUUUCGAUGAUCGGUUCAAAAAUUAUAGCUUUUUGAAAUUUUGAAAACGCAAAUUAAAUGCAUGCAACGUGAGAUCUUGUUGGGAAAUCACGACAUGGAUGGGCGCACUGAGACACGGUGGACCAACUCCUUUUUCUGUGCGUUAAUUCCUUUCUGUGGGCUGGUAUUGGAACCACGUGCGAGAAAGAGGCGGGAGACAGGAGCAUAGAAUUUCUUGUCGUGUAGCGCGUGCGCCCGCCAUGACGAACGAGCGCAGCUGCGCGUUUAAGAUUUCAGGAAGAAAUAUGGGCUGAACCACGUUAGCGGAAAAGUAAAUGGGCACUGCAUACGAAUUGCGCUGUACUUGACGGGUUAAGCACCAAAUAGCACUAGCUGCUAGACUUACCAGUUCGAUUGGUUCGUUCUUUUUAUUCUUUCACUCACUUUAGUGAAAAACAUGCAUCUAGCUUGUGGAAAAACCGAUUAUAGUUUUUCUAAAAACAAAACCGUACAUUCAAAAUAUAUUCGUGGAUAUUUAAAAUGUUCAAUUGUUUUAAAAAAUUCUCACAAAUUUAAUAUAUGUCCAAAAAAAUGUCAGUGAAUUUGCUAAAUGAUCAUGAACUAAAAAAAUCUUCACGAAUCUAAAAAGUUAUUUGCGAAUCAAACAAUAGUAAUGAAUUUUAAACAUGGUCACGGAUUUAAAAACGUAUUCAUAGUUAGUAAAAAACAAAUGAAGAAAAAAUAAAAAAUUCUAGAUAAAACUCGAGUAAGAAAAUACAUAAUAGAAAAAGAAAAAAAUCAUAUCAAAAAGCUUCUAGAAGCUUUGCAAAAUAGAUUAAAAAUGCCUACUUGGGCCCGCCCACUAAAGAAACUGAACGGGCAGAGGGGUGUGUGUUUUUUUUCCAAUAUCGGAGUAUAUAUCACUACUAGUAUGUAUGCACGUGCAAUGCGUGUCUUAAUAUAACGGAAGGAUUUUGGAAUGUGACUCAAAAAAAGUAUAAUGGCGUGAUUUUGAUAAAUGGAAUAAAAAAGGUCAAAGAUUUGCAAAUAGAUCGAGCAAAAAGAAAUAUAGUAAUAUACUAAUCCAGAUAUUAAUUAGUAGGAAUUACUAUUCAUUCCUCCUGCAAUUGUUUUUAAUAUUCAUAUGAAUAAAAUAUACAUUCACAUCUAAAAAACUGUAGGUUCAUUUAAAAAACUUUAUGUUAUUCUAUUUUCUCUUUCCCCACUUUCUCUUCCCAAACCAUCUUUUCUGGGCUCAAGUUGUCAUUCGCUCAAGUGGUAAUAUAGCCCAUGAGGCACCACAUAUGGGACUUUUUUCUAGAAGGGCCACAUGUCUGUUAUAGAAUACAACAAAGGUAACAUCACUCUACUGUUCAUGGAGAAUCCUGCUGAUCUUGGCCCUUGGAUUUUGGAGGCCAACGGUUAUGAUUGAUGCUCUAGAUCCAUUUUGAAAACUGGUACACUAUAUAGUAGUAUAGAUAAGGCCUUAUUAAGUUUUAUAGGAUGUAACAAGAUGUUUCCCUUUCGCACAGAGGCCACAACUGGCCGGCCAAUUUAGGGUUGUGCAUGGUAGCAAAGCAUGGUUGGUUUCUCUAGUGCGUUUUUUGGCUUCCUUUGGUUCAUUUAUUUUUGACUGGGUUUUUCAUUUGAUUUUGAAAAAACAAGAAUAUUUAUAUAUUUAUUUGAAAAUAUAAUCAUUUUUUGAACUUUUAGAACAUCUGUAAAAAUGAAGGAGAACUUUUGAUUUUUUAAACAUCUUUAAAAACGAAACAAUUUUAAUAUACUAAACACUUUUUGAAAGUUGGAUCUAAUCAUCAACUUGGCCAAAGAAAACUCAUAGAUUGGAAAACAUUACGUAGCUAUAACAAUCACACAUAAUAAAGUUCAAAAAAGCAUCAAUUACUUUCAGUGAAUAAUCUGAUCAUAAACCCACAAUUCAUCGGAUCCCAACAAACACCGCAAAAGAAGAUUACAUCAAGUAGAACUCCGAGGAGAACAUUGUAUUGAAGAUGUGAGAGAGAGAGAGAGAGAGAUCUACUAAUCAUUAUGGACCCGUAGGUCUGUGGUAACUAUUCACACAUCAUGUGAGGUGCAUCAAGGUUGAUGUAGAAGCCCUCCGUGGUCGAUUCCCCCUCUGGCAGAGUACGGGUGAAGGCCUCCAGAUGGGAUCGCGGAAGAACAGAAGCUUGUUAUAGCGGAAUAGUUGCGGGUCUCGCUCUGGUGGUUUUGGGGAUUUAUGGAAGUGGAAUUAGGUCAAAUAGAGCCACGAGGGCCGACAAGCUAAGGUGGCGCCCCCCUGGGGCACGCCGUGUGAGCUUGCGGCCCACUCAUAUAUCUUCUGGCCUCCUCCCGAAGCUUCAAGGGUCCCUUCUGGUUCACAAAAAAUCUUCGUAAAGUUUCAUCACGUUUGGACAUCGUUUGGUACUAAUUUUCUACGAAACAAUAAAAUAGGCAAAAAAACAGGAACUAGUACCGGGCACUAGGUUAAUAGGCUAGUUCCAAAAAUGAUAUAAAAUUGCAUACAAAACAUACAAGAUUGAUAAUAUAAUAGCAUAAAACAAUUAAAAAUUAUAGAUACGUUGAAGACGUAUCACAUGCAUCUCAAAGUAUUAAGUUCAUAACAAACAGAGUAAUGCAUUAAGCAAGAUGACAUAAUGUACACAAAAUAAGAUCAACUAAUAUGACCAAACCCCAUCGUUUUAUUCUAAGUAGCAACAAUACAAUACGUGCCUUGUCACCCCUCCUGUCAGAGAGCAAGGUCACCGCCAAAUUAAACCUACUAAGAAGCACCUCUCCCGCUGAAAAUAAAUCAAUCUACUUGGCCAAAGAAGACAAAUAGACCGGAGAGAAAAACAAGACUAUAAAGUUACACAAUCAAAGAGAUCUCAAAUGACUCAAAUAAUAUCAAUGAAUAAUCUGAUCAUAAACCCACAAUUCACUGAAUUUCAACAAACACGCCGCAAAAAUUACAUCGGAUUGAUCUCAGAGGAGAUCAUUGUAUUGAAGGUCAAAAGAGAGAGAAGAAAUCAUCUAGCUACUACUAUGGACCCGUAGGUCCCGAAGGAACUACUCACACAUCAUCAUGGAGGCAGCAAGGUUGAUGAAGGUUUCCUUCCCAAUGGUUUUCCCCUCCGCAGAAUACCGGAACAGGGCUCCAGAUGGGAUCACGGAAGAACAGAGGCUUGCGGUGGCGGAACAAUUGUUUCGGGUCUUGCUUCGGGGGUUUCUGAAUAUAUGAGAAUUUAUAGGCCAAGAAUUAGGACAAAUGGAGUCACGAGGGGCCCACAAGCCAGGGUGGCACGCCCUACCCCCGGGCGCGCCCCCUGCCUUUGGCCACCUCAUGGUCUUCUUCUUCUUCUUCUUCUUCAUCUUCUUCUUCUUGGGCUCACUCAUGAACCUAUCCUCAGAGGCAUUGUCGGUGUUUGGCUUCGGCCUUGUCAGCCCCUGAAGUACGUCCAGUAGAGGCCUACCGAAUGGCGGCAUGGCGACGGCGCGACUGGACGAGGACGCAACUGGACGGCGUGACUGGACGAGGACGCAAUGACGAGGAGGCUACCGGAUGCGUCGUCGUAGAUAACAUGAAUUUAGAUGAAACCAAUAAUCUUGCUGGCCAACUGCGAGUAGUCUUAUAAGUUCACUUUCCAUUUUAUGCACAUGGGCAAGUUGUUGUUACUAAAAAAAAGUUGUUAUUACUCAAUAUAUUUGUGUUAACAUAAAAGACAUAUGAAAGCAAAAGUUGACAGUGAGCCAUAACGAGAUAGCUCGUUGCGCAAAAAAUAAAAUAAACUAACGAGAUAGCUCUUGCAAACGACCGUUCUGCGCAACGUAAUAAUUAAUGCAAAAGAAACCAAAAAAGGAUAUAUGUCUAAGCCCAGGUUCGAACUGGGGACCUUUAGUGUGUGAGACUAACGUGAUAACCAACUACACCACCCAGACAUGUUGAUUUAAUCCGUGGAACAAAGUUAUUUAUCCAAGACAGAAGCAGUCCCCAUUAUCUGUUUCUUCGUCGAAGCGCCACCACCAGCCUACCAAGGUACUAUUUCAUCUGAUUAUAGUUUAUUUAUCAGUCGCGUAUUUCCUUCAGUGGAAACGACGAAAAGAUGUGCUUAUAAACUCAACACAGUGUAGUUUCCUCCAAAGAACACAAAUUUUGGCAUGACGCGUCUGUCCAAAAAGACACAUCUAUAACAACGCACGUUGCAUUAAGUUAGGAUCCCAAUGUUCUUGUGCCGUGCGUCCACAUCUACAUGCAUGGCUCUUCACGCCGACGCUGCACAUAUAUCAUCGCCUCACUCACUCAUUUGGCACCAGCUCACAAUAAGAUCGAUCUUCGCUUGCCCGCCAGCAUCUGAAGCACACAAGAAGCGGAUGUCGGCAUCUGAAGAAACUCGGGGCAGCAUGAAGAAGAAGGAGAAGAAGAAGACGACGGGCUGCCUCGCGCCAAUCUUCGCCGCCUGCGUCCCCUCCGCCAGGCAGCAGCCCGGCGGCGACGACGAUGCCGCCAGGAGCCGCCUCAGCUUCUCGUUCGCGGAGCAGAGCCAGCCCGAGAGCAUCAUCGACCCGGCCGCCUCGGUCGUGGCCAGGAAGGACGGCCGGCACCAGCAGCAGCCGCAGCACUGCGCCGUCAUCGUCGGCACCAUCUUCGGGAGCCGCAGCGGCCGCGUGACCUUCUGCGUGCAGCGCGACCCGGCCGUGCCGCCCCCGUUCCUCUUCGAGCUCUCCGUGCCCAUGCAGUCCCUCGCCGCCGAGAUGGCGUCCGGCCUUCUCCGCAUCGCGCUCGAGUGCCACCGCUCCAGCGGCAGGUCGUCCGCGCCCGGUGCGGCCGGCGAAAAUGCUGCUGCUGCCGGCGGCAGCUCCCGCCCGAGAAACGUCUGGACGGCGUCCUGCAACGGCCGGGACGCCGGACAUGCCGUGCGGCGGCCGCCGACGGAGUGGGAGCGGGGCGUGCUGGAGAGCAUGCGGACGAUGACGGCCGGCGUCGGGGCGCUGCCGGCAGCCGAGCCGCAAGAAGGGAUCAGCGAGGAGGUGAUGUAUAUGAGGGCGACCUACGAGAGGGUGGUGGGCUCCAAGGACGCGGUGUCGUACCAUCUCAUCAGCCCACGCACCGCCGGCGAUAGCCCGCCGCAGGAGCUCAGCCUCUUCCUGCUGAGAACCAGAGGGGAUUGAGAUUCACUGUCUGUGUGUACGCAGUGACAUUCACUGACAUGCGUGUAACGUGCAUGUGCUACUCCCUCCGUGUUAACAUGUAAAUAUUUCUGUUGUAAUAGUCUGGCACGUCCAGCCCUAGAAUUUAGGAUCUCAACUAAUGCCCUGGCCUGCGUGCCUACUUCCUUGGGCUUUCUAUAUGUAAUGACUGUUGUACUGUAACCAGAAAUCAAGGGCAAUCAUUCUAUUGUCUAAUUUGGUAUCAGUGUCUCCAGGUCUCUCCAUGGCCGAACACUCCUCUUCCUCCUCCGCGGCCACCAUGCCCGCCUCCUCGCCGGCCUCCCUCUCCUCGACGGCCUCCUCCGGCUCGUCCUCGGCCACCGCCGCCGGCACAUCCACGCCGCCGUUCGUCUUCGGCACUGCCUCUGCCCACCUCAUCGGCACCUCUCCCAACCCUAAUUCCCAGUUUGCUCCUCUCUUUUCCUCCACCAACCCACAGCCGCCGCCGCCGGCACCACCCGCUCGCCACCCCAUCCUCAACGUGGAUCUCACUAGCCACAUCAAGUUCCUCCUGAACCCUGCUGAAAACAAUUACCACAAGUGGAAAUCUUUCUUCCUGAUGGUCCUUCUUCGUUACGGCGUCACCUACCUCAUCCAGCAUCCACCACCUCCCAACGCCGACAGCCACUACCUCGAGCUUGACACCCAUGUCGUCCUCGCCAUGUACGCCACCCUUACAGAUCAGAUCAUCGAUCAUGUGAUCGGCGCCACCACCACCUAUGCUCUCUGGACUCGGAUCCAAGACUACUUCCUUGCCAAUCGUGCGGCCCGCUACAUGAUUCUGAACCGGCAGUACCGCAAUCUCAAGCAGGGUGACCUUUCCGUCGACGAGUACGCGCGCCGCAUGAAGCUUCUCACCGCCGGUCUCGCGGACAUUGAUCAUGCCGUCACCGAGGUCGACCUCACCACGCAGUUUCUACACGGCCUCGACGGGCGCUUCGACACCAUCCGUGUGGUUCUGGGGGACACCGUCCCUUGCCACCCUUCGAGACCGUCUUCUCGCGCGUCAAACUCGCCGAGGAGAACCAGGCUCAGCGCGCCUCCGACACCAGCGCCACUGUGCUCGCUGUCCACGGGAGCGGCGGCACCCCCGAAACUGGCGGCUCCUCCGGGCCUUCCUGCUUCCCCAACAACGGCGGAUCCGGCCCCCGCUCCGGUGAGCGCGCGGAUCGGUCUUCGGAUCGGGGCUCCAACCUGCAGCACGGUCGUGGCAAUGGCCCUUCUCGUCAAGGCGAUGGUGGCGAGCGUGGCCGCGGGCGCGGCCAUGGGCGCGGCGACUCGGGCGGUCGUGGCCACGCCCUGCCGGCCUACAACCCCUACAUGGGCUUCUUCGCCCCCUAUGGGAUGGCGAUCCCUCCUCCACGCCCCGUCUGGGUUCCUUCCAAUUCUGCUGGCGUGCUUGGGCCACGUCCGGGAUCCCACGCCCACGCCUAUCCGGUGCAGUAUUCGCCGUACCACGCGCCCUCGCCACACCAGCCGCCGUCUUGGGAUCACCUCGCCAUGCUUCACGCCGCCUACAGCUCCCACGGCUUCUCCAACCCCGGGCCCUCCUCCAACGAAUGGUACCUCGACAGCGGCGCCUCCAACCACGUGACCGGCAACUCUGGUAACCUCACCUUCUCGAAUUCUCCUUCUAAGCAUAAUUUAUCAAGCAUUAUUGUAGGCAAUGGAUCUCAUCUCCCCAUACAUGCCACUGGCUCCACACGCCUUUCCCCUCAUAACUUUCAUUUACGUGAUGUUCUUUUCUCACCUCAUGUCACUACCAGCCUUAUUUCCGUUCGUUAAUUUACCAAGGAUAAUUCUUGCUCUAUAGAGUUUUACCCGUUUGGUUUUCUUGUGAAGGACCUUUGCACACGGAAAGUCAUCCUGAUCUACGCUAGCUUCGGCGACCUCUACCCCUUUCACGGCAGCAACAAGGCUUGGCGCACUGCCUUUUCCACUACUGUCUCCGAUGGUGAUGUGUGGCACCGUCGGCUCGGCCAUCCUAGUCCUCAUACCCUUCGCUCUUUAGACAAUGCUUUUCUUACCUCAUGUAAUAAAUCUCCUCAUGUUCCUUGUAGUGCAUGCCAACUUGGGCGCCAACCACGUUUACCUUUUCCCUCUUCCACUAGUCGCACGUUUGCUCCUUUUGAUUUAAUCCAUUGUGAUUUAUGAACCUCUCCGGUUGUGAGUUUUUCUGGUUACCAAUAUUAUCUCGUUGUGCUUGAUGAUUACUCUCAUUUUUCAUGGACGUUUCCUCUACGCCACAAAUCCGACACAUCCACUACCCUACAACGUUUCUUUGCUUAUGUCAAAACGCAAUACAAUGUGAUCAUCAAAGCGUUACAAUGCGACAACGGUGGCGAGUUCAUUAACUCCGAUUUACGCUCUUUCUUCUCUACCAACGGCAUAGUCUACCGUUUCUCAUGCCCUCACACGUCUCCCCAAAAUGGCAAGGCCGAGCGUUUACUUCGCACCACCAAUGAUAUAGUUCGCACACUCCUAAUCCAAGCCAAACUCACCCCUCCCUUUUGGGUCGAAGCCCUCCACACCGCCACCUACCUUCUCAAUCGACGUCCCUCGCGUGCCAUUAACAACCAAACACCAUAUUACCGCCUUCAUGGUCUUCACCCCACAUAUGAUCACCUUCGCGUUUUCGGCUGCCUUUGUUUCCCCAACCUCUCCGCUACCACGCCACACAAGCUUGCUCCACGGUCCACACGCUGCAUUUUCCUCGGCUAUCCUCUCGAACAUAUGGGUUACAGGUGCUACGACCCCCUUUCCCGGCGCGUUAUCGUGUCUCGCCACAUUGUUUUUGACGAGCACACGUUUCCAUAUGAGCCUCCCACACCCUCGCCCUCCGCUAACCCUUCCGCAGAAGAUCCGGUCCCCGCGAUCCAGCUGCAGCGCUCCGUCCCGGAUCCCACCGACCCAACAACCUCGGACGGGCCCCACCAAAUCCCCCCCGCCGCGCGGCCCCGCCAACCAACCAAUGCAACCAAUCCCCGCGCCGGCCCCUCCACCCCCACCGCGCCACAGUCCACGAGUGGCCCCACCUCCCACGCACCCACCAGCUCGCCCUCGUCGCACGCGCCAACCAGUCAGCCGCGAUCUUCUCGGGAUCCCGCCUCUGACGCACCUGCCUCCCCACCCAGCGGCAGCCCAGCCUUGGAUCCCACGCCCGUGCACACUCCCACCGAAUCCUCCUCGGAUCAUGCGCCUGUCUCCCACCUACCGCCCGAUAGCCCCACCAAAUUUGCCUCUGAUUCUGAUCCAGCCUAUACCACGCCACCACGUCACCCCAAGCAUGCAAUACCAAUUGCACCACCGCAAAACUCACACAAAAUGCGCACUAGAGCCAAAUCUGGGUUUUGUUUGCCCAAGCGACUUUUUUUAGCCACCACCUCUUCUUCCGCCAUAUCUCCCAUACCACCUACCUAUCGUUCUGCCCUAAAAGAUCCAAAUUGGUUGCAAGCAAUGCGUGAUGAAUUUAAUGCUUUGAUUAUGAAUUCGACUUGGUCUUUGGUUCCAAAGCCUGCAGGUGUCAACGUGGUGACUGGCAAAUGGAUCUUUCGUCACAAGUUCAAUCCCGACGGAUCCUUGGCACGCUACAAAGCGAGGUGGGUUGUCCGGGGGUUCACACAACAGGAAGGUGUGGAUUAUGGUGAAACUUUCAGCCCUGUGGUCAAGCCUGCAACCAUCCGUAUUGUGUUGAGCAUUGCCAAGUCAAGUGCAUGGCCCAUUCAUCAACUUGACAUCAAAAAUGCCUUCCUUCAUGGCGAUCUCAAGGAAACGGUCUAUUGUGCUCAACCAUCCGGCUUCCUCGACUCGUCGCGACUGGAUCAUGUGUGCCUCCUCCGCAAGUCUCUCUAUGGCUUAAAGCAGGCUCCCCGCACGUGGUUUCAUCGUUUCCAAGCUUUUCUCUUGACACUGGGUUUCCGUGCUUCCAAGAGCGACUCCUCUCUUUUCAUCCUCACCCACGGCUCGUCUCUUGCAUAUCUCUUGGUCUAUGUGGACGAUAUCAUUCUCACCGCCAGUACGCCACAUACUCUCCGCUACAUCAUUAACUCUCUCAAACGGGAGUUUUCCAUGACUGACAUGGGUGAGCUUCACCACUUUCUCGGCAUUAACGUCACCCCAAAUGCAUCCGGUCUCUUCCUCAGCCAACAACAAUACACACUAGAGAUACUUGACCGCGCCAACAUGCUCCAUUGCAAGCCUGUUUCCACCCCCGUCGACACCACCGCCAAGCUAUCCUCUAGCUCCGGUGAUCCACUUCCCAACCCCACCACUUACCGCAGCAUCGCCGGCGCUUUACAGUAUCUCACCCUUACUCGACCGGAUAUUUCCUAUGCCGUGCAACAGAUCUGUCUCUUCAUGCAUGAGCCUCGAGCGUCUCACAUGCAACUCGUCAAGCGAGUCCUUCGCUACUUGCGUGGUACAUCCCACUUCGGUCUUCAGUUAUACAAAGCCUCCUCGCUCGAUCUUGUUGCCUACACGGAUGCUGAUUGGGCCGGCUGUCCCGACACACGGCGAUCCACUUCGGGUUUUUGUGUUUACCUUGGGCAGAACAUGAUCUCCUGGUCUUCCAAACGUCAGCCCACAGUGUCUCGUUCUAGCGCUGAAGCUGAAUAUCGCGGGGUCGCUAACUGCGUUGCUGAAUCCUGUUGGAUCCGCCAACUCCUCUAUGAACUUUGGCGUCCGCCCUCUCGUGCCACCAUUGUCUACUGCGACAAUGUCAGUGCCUCAUAUCUCUCAACCAAUCCAGUACAACAUCAGCACACCAAACAUGUUGAGAUCGACCUUCACUUUGUUCGCGAUCGAGUUGCUCUUGGUGAAGCCUGGGUUCUUCACGUCCCAUCGAGCUCGCAGUUUGCGGAUAUCUUCACCAAGGGUCUGCCCUCGCCGAUCUACACGGAGUUUAGGUCCAGCUUGAACGUCCUACCCAACGGCGUACCAGCUGAGGGGGGGUGUUAACAUGUAAAUAUUUCUGUUGUAAUAGUCUGGCACGUCCAGCCCUAGAAUUUAGGAUCUCAACUAAUGCCCUGGCCUGCGUGCCUACUUCCUUGGGCUUUCUAUAUGUAAUGACUGUUGUACUGUAACCAGAGAUCAAGGGCAAUCAUUCUAUUGUCUAACUCUCCGUUCCAUAUUACUUUCGGGUGCCACACAUGUUGUACUAAAUCAGCGACAAGUGAUAUGGAACGGAGGGAGUACAAGGGAGUAGUAUAUAUACUGAUAAAGGAUUGUUCGACCUUCGUGAAGAUUCAUGUAAAAAUUUCUUUUAAUUUUUUUCUUCAUUUUUAUAUAUUCUAUCACUUGAGUGAGAUCUAGCCACACUCAUAUUGAACCGUGCUUGCAGUUGGAGCCUUGGGAGAGUUGAGACUUGAGAGUAAACUGUGUUGUGGCAAUGUACUCAUGUGUAUAGUUCUAGCAUAGUUUCAAUAAAAUAUUUGUAAGAAAGGGGAAUAUAUGCGCCUUGCUGGAUGGUUAUCUGGUAUGUUAUGCAUGUAGUGUCUUUUUCUAAGAAUAAAAAACAAAUAGUUUCAGUAAAAUAUUUGUAAGAAAGGGGAAUAUAUGCGCCUUUCUAUAUGGUUGUCUGGUAUGUUAUGCACGUAGUGUCUUUCUUUUUAGAACUACUCCCCCGGAUGAGGAUGUGUGGCUUUCGGGUGCCACACAUCCCUAUAAUAUAGCAAUAAAAACAUUUUUGAAAUUUUUGAAAGUUUCUGAAAUUUUUAGAUAUGAAAUCUGGGUGCCCGUUGUACAUCUGUAUCCAAUUUCGUGCGGAAUGAAUGCUCGUAGUACUGUCAAUAUAAAAGACAAAAACAUUGUAUGCAUAUAGAAAAAAACUGGAUAUAACGUAUUUAGGACCGUAAUUCCUGCAUCACAGAUACCACAUGCACCCAUUCCCCAUGAAAAUGAACACGAGUGUACAGUGGGCACCUAGGUUUCAUAUCCUAAAAUUUCAGAAUUUUUUGAAAUUUCCAGAUAUUUUUAUAAUGCUAUUUCCAUAUAGGGGUGCGUGGCACCCGGGUGCUCCAGUGCAUUUCCCUCCCUCCGUCCCAUAAUAUAAGAAUGUUUUCCAGAUGAGGUGCCCAGGCUCAACUGAACCCGUGAUGAUCAGAAAAUUCAAAGCAAAUACUAGAUUUUUUUAAAAAAAAUCCCUAAUUUUUAUGGAAGAUAAUUUGAUGCGUGAGAUGCGCUCCAAAUUUCAUAUCAUUUGGACAUCUGAGUAGCUCUUGGCAAAAAAGACAAAUCUUGGGUCUGUGAAAAAGUUUACUGUUCAUGUAUUGUUCUGACCCAAUUUGUCUUUUUUGCUGAGAGCUACUCAUAUGUCCAAAUGAUCUGAAAUUUGGAGCACACCUCACGCAUCAAAUUAUUUUCCAUGCAAAAAUAAUUUUUUUUAGUAGUUCUUGUGAAUUUGCUCUUCACCGGGUGCAGAUGAGUAUGGACUCAGAAAUGGAUAUUCAACGUUUUUCACACUAUACUAGUGUAAAAACACUCUUAUGUUAUUGGACGGAGGGAAUAAUAUAUGUAAUGUAAUGAUAAACCUUUGCAUUUAGAAGUCAAGUAGUAUUUUGAGGUAAAUCUUUUUGGAAGGACCAUUAAUUACGUUGAACCAAGUUUCAUGUAAGUUGAGUGCAACUCUACAUUGAAUCAAGGAGGAGGUGAUGUAUAUGAGGGCGAGCUAUGAGAGGGUAGUGGGCUCCAAAGCCACGGUAUAUCGUACCACCUCCUCGGCCCAUGCACCGCCAGAGGCUGGAGGUAGCCCGCUGCAGGAGCUAAGCCUAUUGAAUUCAUGCUCCAGCCAGUUACUUCAAAAGUUCGAACUAUGGGAGAGGGUUGGACAUUAAACUCCAACACUCCUCCUCACUUCUAUGCCACUUUGGAGUUAUAACGUGGGCAGCGGAAGCGGGGGUAGGCCGCAAUUAUUUAGUGCAUUUACUGGAUUUUGAACCUGGAACCUCUUGGUUGCAAGUCUAGGCUAUUUUAUUCCUUAGAUGUGUGAUCGAUGUAGGCCGCAGAAUCUUUUUAUUUUAAUAUUGUGUUGGUAGAGUCUUGAACUCAAGACGUUUUGGCUCGGAUACCAUAAUGAAUUCAUGCACCAGCCAUUUGCUCCAAAAUUUCAAACUGAUGCGAGAGGGCUGAACCUUGCACUCCAACACAUCCAACUUUCAUGUAAAUUGUGUGAAACUCUGGGAGCGCCAUGUUAGCGCCUAUAGCGUCGAACCGAGAAAGUGGCGCUCAUGUGAGCGGGAGUGGGCAGAGGCCCAUUAAGCUUCGCUCCCUCGCCUUGCUCGAUGUUUGUUCGCUCAAUCAACCCGCCUUUCUCGGUCCUGUAUUUUUUUCUCGGUUGUGUUGUGUUGUUGCUUGAGGAAAAGGUCCGGCCACCAGUUUUGUUAUUAUGAAUACUUUCAUGAUAUAAAAAAGUUCAUGGGUUUCAAUAAAAAGUACAUAAAUUUGAAAAAGAGUUCAAAAAAUCAUUUUUUUUUUAAUUUUCUUAAUUUUCUGAAAAAACUCAUAAAUUUGAUGAAAGUUGAAAAUAAUUCAAAAAGUACAAGAAUUUGAGAAAACUUCAAAAACUUUAUGAUUUAAAAUAAAUGUGAUUUUGAGAAAAAAAUCACGAAUUCUAAAAAAAUUUAAUGAAAUUUACAAAGUUCUUGAAUUUGAAAAAGAAACUUCGUAUUUGGAAAAGUUCACCAAUUUUUUAAAAGUUAACAAAACUGGAAAAGUGCAUGAAUUUGAAAAAGAUUCACGAAUUUGCGGAAAAGUCACAAAUUCCGAAAACAAAUCAUGAAUUUUAUAAAAGUUCAUGAAUUCAAAAAAUAUUCAUGUAUUUUAAAAGUUUUUCUAGUUUGAAAAAAGUUUGCAAAUUUUAAAAGUUCACAAAUCUUGAAAAAAUUCACGAAUUUGAGAACAAGUUCAUGAACUCUAAAAAAAGUUCAUGAAUUUCAACGAAUUCAAAAUUCAAAAAUGUUCAUGAAUUUGAAAAUUUGUUAGAAUUUUAUAAUUACAAAAUAUAUAAAAUUUAGAAAAGUUCACAUAACUUGAAAAGGUGUAUUAAUUUGGAAAAGUAUUCCAGAAUUUGAUAAACAAUUCAUGAAUACUUAAAAGACAUGAUUAAAAAAAUAAAAAAUAUUCAUGAAUUUGAAAAACUUUGCAAAUUUGAAAAAGUAAAAAAGGAGGGGGAAAUAAAAUCAAAAUUUAAAAGCAAUACAGAAAACCAUAAAGCAUGGUUUGGAAGCUUCUAGAUGCUUCACAAAACAGUAUGGUCCACAUUUUUUUGAGAUAAAAUAGUAUGGUGCACAUGCUUCCAUAAACGAAAAAGUGAACUUACAUGGGUUGGCCCAUGUGCUAUGUUCGUGCUGCAAUGCGCUAGUUAGCAAAUAAGCCUAUAAGUAGCAUCUUAAGCGCCAAAUAGGACUUGAGCGCAACUCGAGCGCAAGUCAGGUCAAAUACGAAACUCCAUCCACAAUGAUUUAAGGAACUGUGUCACAAAUGAUGCAUUCACGACAGUUUCACAAAUUAAGCCGCAUGGGAUGAUUGGCAGAUGGCUAGGCCUGAAAGAAAUCACCGUGGAUGACUGCCACAUACGUGACCUUUUUUUGUGUGCAAAAAUCGCCGUGUAUGCGUACGCGAAGACUUUUAGGAAGCCUUUACCCAUGACGAUUCAUUGAAUGAAAUCGUGCCCUUGAGUUAUCCUCCAUUGCAUACCCACCCACCCCCCGGCCCCGCCCCGUCCCUCCCCCUUAUCCAUUCCAAACCCUAGCAGCCACACUCAUCCACCUCACCGACCUCCUCCACUGCAAACUCCUCCAACUGUGGCAGCUCUGCUACAAUUGAUCCAGCCUAUCCAUUGGACCUCCAGCCCCUCCUCCACCACAAAAUGGAAAAUUGGCAUUGUUUAGUGGUGUUCUUGUUGUUUAUUAGGUUAGAUGGAGAAUUGGCAUUGGUAUCAUUAUAUAUGCUUUUGCAAGAGUUCUUUUUGAUUGGCAACAAAAAUCACAUGAAUGCAGGUGAAAAUAAAUAAAUUAGUUUGCAUUAAAAAUGUUUCACAAAGUAUUUAAUAAUAUAGAUAAAAAUUAUACAACACAAAGAUGUGGCAUCGGUCGUGUUGCCUAGAAUAUUGUGUUAUGUAUAUCGUUUGGUUAUAUUAGUGUCCAUGCUACCUAGUUAGAUUAUUGGCGUUAGUUGAUCUAAUAAUUAGUUUUUCAACAAAGAUCUAAUGAUCAGUUGUAGGUUCAAUGUGUAAUUAGUUUUUUUUACAUUAUAUUUGUUAUUUUGGUAAAUGUGUUGUCAUUGUUGCAACUACCAUUUGCAAGAGUUUGUGGGAUAGGAGUGGGUUGAUAUAUUCCAUCACUACAUUACAAUGACACUGCAAACCAUGGCCUCGAGAGUUCGGGCAUACUACGAGCACAGGAAAAAAUAUUUCUCGACUCCUAAGAUAAGAUCUCCGUACAAGCAACGAUAUGGAUACCCAUGAUUUUUCAAUGUCCAUAACUCCAUAUACUUAUUUUUAUUGUGAAAAUGAAUUUGACAUGAAUAAUGCAGUUUUAUAGAAUGCUUCUCUGUUGUCUCCGCGGUCCCAUGAGCGGCCCGGAUGAAUCUAGGCUACAAAGAAAAAAAAAUCUACUUUUCUAAAUGCUUCCUUUGGUGCUUCCCAUGAUCCAUAAUCGGUUCAAUAAUUGCCUUGACGUCCUCCUCAAUUUCGUCAACCUACAUAAACAUUUAGCUUGGUGAUGAAGGAGAGUAGUAAUAGUAAUACAGCCGCCAUUGUAAUCUUAGAGUUUUCUUAUGCUUUAUAAGGGUGGUAACUAAGCACCCUACGAAACAACAAAACAGCACUGGGAUGUUGCUUCAAGUCACCGACGCGAUCACUAUCACUUCAUUUCCAGUCGACCAAAAGCAGUUGCUUAAGAUUGCAAGAGAACUCAAAAAAGCAAUCGGACUACCUUGUGGAUGAUGUCUCGUGCAAGAUGAGCCUCCUCCGCGACUUCCUUGGAGGCGUGCUCGACCACCACCGCGGCGCGUCUCAGCCUGCCGUCCUCCGGCAGAUGCCCGGCCACCUCGGACGACACCUUCUCGGCCACCGUGGCCACCUCCUCCACGACCUCCGCCGCGGUCUCGGCGGCGUCCUUCACCAUCUCCACCUCAUCUUAACGGAACCAGUCCAUGACAAAUGUUAAUAUCCAUGGAUUCUAUCUUCCUAGUUACUCCCUCCGUAAACUAAUAUAAGAGUGUUUAGAAUACUAAAGUAGUGAUCUAAACGCUUUUAUAUUAGUUUACAGAGGGAGUACUUGGUUAAUUGGUUGACGUGCUUACUUCCGAUCCGCAGAAUCGACGCCGAUUUGGAGUGCAGGAACGGCGCCGCGACAGCAACAGUGGAGCCAAUUGCCAGUCUUGCCCUGACAAAAGAAGAACAGAGAGUUGCAAGGGCAGUUUACGAAUGUAAGCUGUACUACGACCAUUACAAAAACCGGACCAAGAUCAUAGAAAAUUGGUUGGAUUACCAGGUGGAGAAACCUGCAGCAGGUCGUCCUGUGCCACCUGCGCCGCCGCCGCUGCUCCUGGUUCCUCUGAUGCCACGGCGCAGGCCAGAGGACGAAAACGAUCUCCGCCGAUCCAACGCCAGAAAAUGCGCCGCCGUGGCAGGCGGGUUGUCGCAGCCGAGGCGGGUGGUGCAGUGGAUGUGGAUCAGCCUGUGCCGGCAGAGCGACGCGAACGAGCUGGCAGGAGACAUGUCCAGCGGAUCAACUGUUCUUCGGUUUUCUCCUUCUUUUCAACUGAUCGACACUGAAAAACUGAACUGCUGGAGUGUUGGGGGCAUCGAUCAAGCGAUGGUCAUAUAUAGACCUUGCAAAAAAUGUUGCUUGUUGGCUUGCAAGACUUAUCUAAUCGAGCUGGUGGAUGAUGAAUCCGUGCGGAGUGUGCACGGCAGCGCGUAAACUCGCAUACAUACCUUGCAAGUAUCAGCGUGGCUGAUUAAGCUGUCCAUGAUUGCCCAAAGCGUCAAGUAACGGGGCACAUGCAUGAUGCAUCUAACACAUAACACAAUGUAAUGUUUCUUUUUUCCUUUUCACUCUUUUCUUAUUAUAUUUGUCUAGUCCUAAACUAGAUUUUGUUGCUGCCAUUUACAAAAAUAUCCAUGUAAGACAUUCUUUUAUGCUUACGAGCCUAUGUACAGAAAACUAUGCCAUGUUUCUUGAAUAAAAAUAAAAUAGAAUCUAACACAAUGGAGUAAUUUACUACUCCCUCCAUUCCAGAAUAUAAGGUGUAUUAUUUUCCGUGCAAGUCAACCAUUUGAAUGUUUGACCAACAUUAUAGAAUAAACUAACUACAUCUAAAAUACCAAAUAGAUAAAAUAUGAAACCACUUUUCAUGAUGAAUCAAAUGAUAUAAAUUUUAUAUUAUGGAUAUUGGUAUUUUUCUAAAAAAACUCGGUCAAACAUAACUUCGUUUGACUUUUGAAAAAACAAACACACCUUAUAUAAAGGAAGGGAGGGAGUAUCUUUUGUUUGCACAACAUAUUUUUAACUAGAUGAUACCCCGCGCGUUGCUGCGGGAUUUUUUUAGCACGCAAUGGUAGAAGUUAAAUUCAAUAAAAUUGUGGUACAAAUAUUUAAUAGUAGUAAUAACCAAAAAAUAGAUAGUAGUAAAGAAGUUUUAUUUUGGCAAGGAAGAAAGAAAAUUCAGUACAAAUGGAAAUAAACCAAUGAAGGAAAAUUCAUGACAAAAGAAAUUGAAACAUGUCUUAGUUAGAUUGCUUAACAUUUCUUGGUUAGAGGAGGCAAAGAAUUUCACAUAUUUUUCUUGAGUAUACCAAUUAGAUUCGUAGCUAAGUUUGUAUGAUAUGCAUGUAUCUCUUAGCUAGCUAGGGUCCAUUGGCUACGUAGCUUAGGGUAAUUAGCAAGGAACUAGUCAUGCAUGCGUGCGCAUGCUAGUACCAGCGACGACAUACACAGACGUGUAAUAGUAGUGGCAUGCAAGCAAGCGCGGCGCUCUCGCUGGUGAGGCUGCCGGAGAUCGUCGUGAUGGAGAUCCUGGCGAGCGUUGCGACCUCUUGCGCCGCCGCGCGCAAGUGCUGACGCGCCCUUGCCACCGAGCCGUCCUUCCUUCUCUGCCGCUGGCUAGGGGGUGCCUGCCAAUGCUCCUCCCUUUCCCUUUCGGCUUCCUCGUCCGGGAGCAGCGCCACGGUUCGGAAGGUCCGCCUGGCUCGUGCUUCGUCCACGUGCCGCUGUAGGUGCUCUGCCCCGGCCGUUCCUUGAUCGGCUCCUUCGUCCAGGCCUCGCCAGCCUCUUCGACGACCACGUCAUGCAUGCCACUCGCGUCGGCGUCCUCCUCGAGUGCUUUGGCGGCGGUGAUGAGUCGGAGCCUGGCCUCUACGGCCGCCCCGUCUGCAAAGUGCUCUCCGGCGCCUGCCACAUACUCAAGGAGAAAAGAACAUAGGUGUAUCGGUGUUUUCCUUUCCGCUAGGCCUGGUUCUUCCACUUCUUGGACAGGAGUGUGCGCGUCCCUGUACCGGACGCCGGCAGAACCUCGGCAGGAAGACAACGGGGACUACGGAACACACACACACACACACACAAAAAAAAAAAAAACUCGUGUCAGCGGCACAUCAGAUAAACAUCGCGGUGCUUGGCUGCAAUUGGGAAGAACAAAUCCGACCGCCACGAGCUUGAGGCCGUCUACAUCGGCAAGGAUUAAGCGCCAGUCGUCAGUUAGGUGUGAAGGUCCCUGGGAGCUUCCCAAGAUGAUGGACGCAAACAACUUGACGCACAUGGGGCAGCGGGCGCUCGGCUCGAUCAGGUUGAUCCACAGUUAUAUCAAGGAGAGAUUGGAAGAGGAGAAGACAUGCUUCCAAUGGAAAGGGAAAUGACUCCAAUAAACACACGUAAUGGUCGGUAUUAAAAUGGUUGCAUUGAUAGACGCCUAGUGGCCAACGUGGAUGCAUGGGAAAGAUCGUUCCUAUUCUGCCGAUGGAUAGAAAAAUCGGGUCACAUCUGAAAGAAAGAGAGAGCUCAGAUGGAAUGCAUGAGUGGGUGAAAAAUUGCUGACAUGGCACAAAGCUGAGGUGGACAACCUGCAUGUUGAGAGAAUGCCUUGUAGUGGGGAGCAACUUCUUAAGAAUGGUAGAUGAGUCAUGUGCACAUAUUCUAUGGGAAAAUAAAGUAUUUAUCCAUCAGAAGUUUUUAUCUGUCGGACACUUUAAAGAGUUGAACAUUUUUUAAUUUACGUGAAGAUUUUGUUUGACAUACAUGAAAAGUUUCCAAUGUGAGGUGAAACAUAUAAAAAAUGAUUUCUGUCCUUACACAAAGUUUUUAUGUUGAAAUGAUUUUCAUGAUGUGAGUGGACAUUAACUUCUUUCACAUAAGUACAUUUUAUUAAGCACCCAUGAACACUAUUUGACUAACAUGGACAUUUACAUAGACAAUAGAACGUAUUUCAUUUAUUAAAAUAAUCUUGGGAGUACUGUUCCUAAAUAAAUGCAGUUUAUAAAUUAUAUAUUCAUUGGAAGGGGUAAAUUGGCAGUUGACAAGUUUAAUGGACCAACGACCUAAUAUGAAAAACAAACAUUGAAAAUUAUAAACAAUGUCUCCUUAGGUUUAAUUUAAUUUAGUACAGAGAUACAAAAAUAUAUUUACAAUGCCAUGAAAUAACAAGUCUAAAUUCAAUCCACAAUUCUACAAUAAGAAAAGUGAAAUCAUGUAAGGAACACUAGUUAUUCGGAAGCCGUGAAUUGAUCUCAUUAAAAAUGUAAGUUGAAUUUGUUGUUUUUCUUUCUUGAGUUGUGGCUCAAAUUUGAAUCUAAUUUUAUAUUAAUUGUAGAUUAAAGUGUGUUUUUUCAGGUUUGAUGCAUUGGAUACGUCCUCUCUAUAGGAACUUCCGAAGACCCAAUUCACCAAACCAGAAAGGUUUCUAUUAGUUCGCCAUUGAGCUAUCGGCCGAAAAUCAAAUAAAAGUGUCCUUCGAAGGCUAAAAGUGUAAAGCUAUAUCUCUCUCACUGCAAGAUAUAGCGAGCGCUCGCUUAUAGAGCCCUCGAUCCGGGCCAGCCCAGUAGUAUAGGGGGAGAAGGCGGUGUUGAAAUACCUAUUUGCACAAGGUUCUAUUCAGUCGUGUUGUUGAUUUUAAACAGGUCUAUCAGGGUUUAUUCCUUCCUUGGAUUUUUGAGCCAUGUUGAUUUCCCUAGUUUAAUAUUCUUUUAUAUCUUGGAAAAAUAAUACAAUACACCUGGCCAUGUUAACCAGAAUGAGGGNNNNNNNNNNNNNNNNNNNNNNNNNNNNNNNNNNNNNNNNNNNNNNNNNNNNNNNNNNNNNNNNNNNNNNNNNNNNNNNNNNNNNNNNNNNNNNNNNNNNNNNNNNNNNNNNNNAUCUCGUUUCUUUAUUUUUUAUUUUUUUUUCUCGGUUCUUUUUUCAUCAUGUUUUAAACAAUGUACACUGUAUAUUUUAAAAAAGUGUUUUUUCUUGUGUUUAAAAAUGUUUAUCAUGUAUCAAAAAAAUUGGCGUGUAUUAAAAAGUGAUCAUCGUGUACUUUCAGAAAGUUUUGGUGUAAUGAAAAGUAUUCAUAUCUAUAUUAACAAAAUAUACAUAAAUUUUCCAGAGUGUACUUUGAAAAUAUUCAUCAUACUUUUAAAAAAUGGUUAUCGAGUAUUUAUAAAAAUAUCAUAGUAUAUUUUAUAAAUACGUCAUCGUUUAUGUUCUUGUGAUGCAUGGCUUUUUUUCACUUUUUACCUUUUCAAUAUAUGGGAGAUAAGUUCUUUUACAUACAUGUUUAUUUAUCGGGCACACGCAAACACACAUGUGGUGUGAUUUUUCGUAACCAACACUGUGUGGUAUGCCAUUAAAAAAAGUGUGGUGUGUUACUAACUUUUUUUAGGGUCAGUAUUUCGUUUUUGAUUUUCGGUGUGGUGUGCUAGUUUUUUUUAGAAGAAGUGGUGUGCUAGUUAUUCUAGACGUGGAAGACGUAGGUGACUAAUGGGGUGCUUGCNNNNNNNNNNNNNNNNNNNNNNNNNNNNNNNNNNNNNNNNNNNNNNNNNNNNNNNNNNNNNNNNNNNNNNNNNNNNNNNNNNNNNNNNNNNNNNNNNNNNNNNNNNNNNNNNNNNNNNNNNNNNNNNNNNNNNNNNNNNNNNNNNNNNNNNNNNNNNNNNNNNNNNNNNNNNNNNNNNNNNNNNNNNNNNNNNNNNNNGCUAUGUCUCGCGUUCAGCGAGUCGAGUCUUCUGACUCACUGAAGAGCGCGAGGAUAUGGGCCGGCCCAGUUCGCGGUAGGUACACUGCAUCGUUCUCUUUUCUGUUUUUUCCAUGUUUUUAUUAAAUUUUUUGAUUCCAUUUUUUACUUUUCUUUACACUUUGAAAAAUGUUGAAUGUGUAUAAAAACAUGCUGACCAUGUAAUAAAAAAUGAUAAAAUUUCUUGAUCAUGUAUAUAAAAAUGUUAAUCAACCAUCUAAAAAAAUGUUCAACAAGUAUUUAAAAAAUGUUGAGCGAGUAUUUGAGAAAUGUUGAACAAGUAUUAAGAAAUGUUUAAUAAGUAUUAAAAAUGUUGAGAAGGUGUUUAAAAAAUGCUGAACAAGCGUUCGGACAAUGUUGAACGUGUAUAUAAAAAAUGUUGAUCUCUUAUUAAAAAACUUGAACAAGUAUUUACAUAAUGUUGAUCAAAUAUUUGAACAAUGUUAAAUGUGCAUAGAAAAAAGUUGAUCAUAUAUUAAAAAAUCAAGAAAUAUUGAUCAUGUAUAUAAAAAAAUGUUUAUUGAGCAGUUGAAAAAUGUUAAACAAGUAUUUAAAAAUGUUAAUCAAGCAUUUGGAAAAUGUUAAAUGUGUAUAGAAAAAUGCUGACCAUGUGUUAAAAAUGUUAAUAAUGCAUUUAGAAAAUGUAAUCAAGAAUUUGAAUAAAUGUAGAUGUGUAUUAGAAAAAUGUUGUUGACAUAUACAAAAAAAAAUGUAGAAUAACAAUCAAAAGAAAAAAGGAAACCGGAAAAAGAAACAAAAUGCAAUUUUUUUGGAAAAAAAAUGGCAAACUACAUAAUGUGAUUUUUGCAAUAGGUUCUUGGGAACUUCUCUUAGAGACUACCUUUGACCCCAGCGCAUAGAGAGGCCCAUAAGAGUUCCUAUGUUGAUAACUUUUAGUUUCACUUUCCACCCUAGUUAUAAAUGUAUGUCACAGUAAAAUAGCAUUCUAAUAUCCAAGUAAAUGUACAUAUCAUUACAUGCCAUAUGGUCGACAGGAUGGGAUUGCCGGAAGCAUCAACACUAAGUGGGACGGUAGUGGCGGCUAGGGUUAUGCGCGAGGAGGCAGAGAGUGUGUAUCGGCUAGCGUUGCCAACGCCUCCAGUAUAUAGGUUGUUGGGUAGGGAGUUGUGGGCCAGGGCUUAGGCCCACGACUAAGUAGGCAACAACUCACGGUCCAACCUCUCGGAUAUCUUUGAUUAAUUAACUGUUCCUGACCGGCAAAAAUAAAGUGCAUGCAUGACAUAGGUCUAAGCUCGGCUCGGCUCAUUCAUGAAACACGAAGCGCGUAUGAUGCAUGGCAUGGCAAGACGGGCGACAGAGGAGGAGCGCGUGUAUCAUUCCUCUUUUCAAGCGGCAAUAGCAUGUGAAAGAGAAUACCUUGUAAAGAGGUCUCAACUCUCUUCCACUCGCAGUAGGGUACUAAAUUUCUCACCAUGUCAUGCACCCCACAUGAGCCUUAUAGACCAACCAUGAAUUAUUGUUUAUAUGGGACCAAAGCCUAUCUAUAAUUCAACAAUGCCCCAUCAGAUCUCGGAGGCACAUUAUGUUGUCCUUUGUUCUAAAAAAUUGCUUUGAUAUGCUGAUAGUUUUAGUGGACACUGGUUAAGGCUGAACGUCCACUUAGAGCAAAGGGUUACACUUCGUCACAAUUGAACCUCGCCGCCUCCACCACCGCAGGAGCAAGGCGAACGGGGUGCCGUCUCGGUCGUUAGGUGGCAUGUGUCAAACGUAGGAAACGAUUUGUGGGAGAGAGAGAGAUCAGCCGGUUGAAAGCAAGAGUUUUCCAAGAGAGAGAGACAGAGACCUGAAGUGGACCAUUGGCCCGUUUAUUCUGGUUUAGUCGACGGUGUGCUUGCUCCUGCUUAGGCCCAUGGGCCAAAAUUGACACCGGCCAUGCAUUGUGUACCGGCUGAAACACAUCAUCACGCUUGGGAGGCUAGGGAUUGGCGUGACCGACGUGAAUUCCUAUUGGGACUGUCUAAUUGACAGUCGACUGAAAAUCAAUUCGUUUUCAGUCAGAUUUUUAGGCCAAUAGGAACCUAACGGUUGUCUGUCCCUGUCACCUGUAUGUCCAUGUCAAAAUUUGCUACCAGCCUAACGGGUUUGUCCAUCCACCAAAGCCGGCCCGAUUACACUGGAGGGAUCUCGUAGCACCUGAACUUGCGAGGGAAUUAUAAUAAGCCAAAUAAAACAGAAACAUGCGGGAAGGAGGGAUCUCGUGUCAAUCGAUCUAAUCACCAAGGAAGAAGCAAGCAGGAGGUCAAAAUCACCAAGUUCAGAGACACUCACAUGGAAGAAAAACUGCUAGAUGAACCUCAGGGGACAUAUGUUCGAAAAUUCCUCCUCACGACCUCUUUUGCGUUCAUCAAAAAAAAAAAACUGCCGUGCAUUACCGUUCCAGUAUUCUUCUCAUAUGAACUUGUUCUAAUAUGGGCUGAGUCUGGAAAACACAGUACACACGAACAUCAACAGUGUGUGAAAUCGUCUGAAAGAAAGUAGACAGAACAUAAAACAGAAAUUCAGGAAUUCAGCACUAGAUCAGAGGAAAUUUCAGUAUAAUGUCAAACACCAGUAGUUUGACAGCAGCAACAGUAGUUUUAAAAUACAAAGUUCAGGCAUUGCUUACAAACAACAGUAAUUCAACAAUGAUCAAAUAACAGUAGAACCAUCUAUUUUUAGGCUAUUUCUUGUAAAAAUACAGUAGAAUAACAGUGCAAAUGACAGUGAGCUUUACAGUGUAAUUGCAGUAGAUUUACAUUGUAAUUUAUAGUAGAAUUACACUGUAAAUACUACAUGUUCCAGUGAGAUUUUACAGUAGAUUUACAGUGUAAAUACAGUAGUGUUGCAGUUGAGUUACAGUGUAAUUUACAAGUAAUUCUACUGUAAAUGUCAGUGGAACUACAGUCUAAAUACAAUUGUAUUUUACGAUAGAACUUCAGUGCAAAAUACAGAGUUUUCAGUGUAAUUCUACUAUAAUCAAAGUGUAUUUUACAGUAGAACUUCAAUGUAAAUACAGAUUUUUACAGUAUGAUUGCAGUAGAUUUACAGUACAAUUACACCAUAAAUACUACAGUUGAGUUCCAGUAACAUUUUUACGGUGUAAAUACCGUAGUAUUGCAGUUGAAUUACAUUGAUUUACAGUUUAAUUUCACAAGUAAUUCUACUGUAAAUGUCACUAGAAAUUUCAACUGACAUGCACCUCCAUCUUCCUAACAACAUAAACACCCACUAAUUGAAGAACACAUCACUGUUAAACAUAGACAGGAAACAACUACUCGGAUCACGGCAACGCAGAUGAGCUACUCCUGGAAACAUGUCUUCUUCAGUUAGUAUCGUCCGCCUGCAAAGGAAACAAACAUGAGUAUUAUAAGAGAAUGUUAGAAUAAGAGAACAUAUAUUGCAAAGGAGAUUAAAUUUACACACAUCUUUAAAUCAAAUCUACAACUGAUGUGAAGUCUAAAACCUUGACAGAGAAUAAACCAAAACCCAUAACGCAUUGGUUUCACUGGAACCGGUUCUUGGACCAAAAAACACCUGCACCUACAAUACUGAAAUUACAGUAGCUAAAAUUACAAAUUACACUAGAAUAUUCAGUUUACAGUGCGAUCUUGUGAAAUUCAGUUUCCAUUGUUUCAGUGAAAAAAUUACAGGAGCUAAAAACACCAAUUAAAUUUUGCACUGAAAUUCUACUGUAAUUACCAUGUAAAUUACACUGUAACAACACUAAAAAAUUCAGUGUAAUUACAGUGAAUCACACUGAAAUUAUACUGUAAAAUCCAGUGUAAACUAGCAUGUAAAUUACGCUGUAACAACACUAUAAAAUUCAGCGUAAUUACAGUACAAAUGCACAGUAAAUUCAGUGUAACUACUAUCCAAAAGAACACUGAAAUUCAGUGUAACCACAGAUGCAUUUUCUGUAAUUACACUGCUUAGUAAACUACAAUGAAGAUUGCACUGACUUACUAAACUGUAAUUGCACUAAAAAAACUAGUGCACUGACUAAUGACACUGACCAAGUACAAAAACCUGUGCACGGUCAGAUUUCUUCCACAAAACGUCAAACAUUAACAACCACUGAAAUUUCAGUAUUUUUAUUGCCAACACACUAAAAAUAAGAUAAAGUUCUAAAAUGGUGCUAAAAAUGGAUGAAAUAAUACGCAACAAAGACCAACCCCAACAAAGAAGACAAACCCCAAAGAAAAGGUUCUGCAAUGCUUGCAGGCCAACCAUAGACAAACCCCUAACAAAAGGUUAACAUAGACGAACUAGAAAAAAACCACUAAGAGCUACAGUGUGGAAAAGAAACUUCAGUUACAGUGAAAAUACACUAUAAUUUCAUUGUAAUGUACACUCAGAAUCUGUCUUUAAUUACACUGAAUAUUGAACUGUAAUUACCAUGAAAAUUACACUGUAACAACACUAGGAUUACUCUGCAAUGUGCACCGUAAUUGCACUAAAGAUCCUAGUGUAAUUUUAAAUAAACUGAAAGAGAGAACUGAAAAAGAAAAGAAAAGCUAGACAAAAAUAACUACCGGCGACAUAUGAACGAAUCAUCUUCCGCGGAGUCAUUGGGCACAAAAACAUUAAUCCAAAGAAUCUGAGGUUUCAGACAGAUUACAUAAACAUGAUACACAAAGGUCAACAACACUUACUGGAUGAGCUAGAAAACAAAAGGAAAAGCAAAUUAUGCAUAAAAAGAAAUAAGAGAAACAACUGAAUACUAUGGAACUUAACCUGCUUGAUUAUGGAAAUUGCACUAAUGAAAAAUUAUGGAACUCAUUGGGGUAAUACAAUUUUAAAAGAUACUGCAAAUUUCUGAACUCGCCACCAGGAGAAUGACAGAAAUAAACAUGGUACUAAGCUAAUGGUCAAAAAGGCUUGACCAUCAUUUCUACGAGGAUGGAACUGCACAAAACAGAACUGUACCCGACAUAUAUUGCAAAUGCAAUGAAGAAAAAAGAUACUACAAAUGUAGUGAAAAUACUACCUACCUACCCUGCACAAGAUAGCUAGCAAAUGUUCAUGCAGAAAUGAAGUCAUACUGCAAAUACAGUGAACAACACUAGUUACAUAGCACCAAACUGAAAAUACAGAACCAAUACACUGUAAGCAACUAAAGUACCACGAAUCACAUACAUUGGAACCUUAAAGUAACUCAGUACAAAACUGAAACAGAAAAAUUCAGAGCAAGUAGGAUCUAACACCUACAUCCACAAAAGAGAUCAUGAGACAUCUAAAUCAAUCGGGAGACUGAGAAAACUUCACAUACAUCUACAUCAAAUGGGCCAGCCAAAAAUUAAAUGAUCAUGGGGGAUCUAGCGCACUAUUAGAUGCCCACGGGGAUCAAUCAACAACCACUGUAGUGGGAUGAUAUCAAAAUCGAACAGCAGUAAAAUAUCAAAAGGGUCAAGGGGAUCCACUGCUACAUCUGAAGCAAUCAAUGGGAACCAACGAAUUGACCGCCUGCGUUAGAUCCGGGGGNNNNNNNNNNNNNNNNNNNNNNNNNNNNNNNNNNNNNNNNNNNNNNNNNNNNNNNNNNNNNNNNNNNNNNNNNNNNNNNNNNNNNNNNNNNNNNNNNNNNNNNNNNNNNNNNNNNNNNNNNNNNNNNNNNNNNNNNNNNNNNNNNNNNNNNNNNNNNNNNNNNNNNNNNNNNNNNNNNNNNNNNNNNNNNNNNNNNNNNNNNNNNNNNNNNNNNNNNNNNNNNNNNNNNNNNNNNNNNNNNNNNNNNNNNNNNNNNNNNNNNNNNNNNNNNNNNNNNNNNNNNNNNNNNNNNNNNNNNNNNNNNNNNNNNNNNNNNNNNNNNNNNNNNNNNNNNNNNNNNNNNNNNNNNNNNNNNNNNNNNNNNNNNNNNNNNNNNNNNNNNNNNNNNNNNNNNNNNNNNNNNNNNNNNNNNNNNNNNNNNNNNNNAUCACCGGAGCGGAACUCAAGCUCGAGGAGAGGUGCAGCUUGGAAUCGCAAUGGAAUACGAUCAAAAUCGCCUCUUCCUCUCCGCUGCUGUAGCGCUCACUCUCUCUCUGCCUUGCCCAUUUCAAACAGUGACGCCUAAGGAAAUGAGAAAGCAAAAUGCCAAUUCAUCGUCAGAAGAAUAAAAGGGAAAAGACAGCGUCCGGGCGGUAACGGGCCGACCCAAAAUGAAAACCGUGCCCGACAAGUAGAAACCGCCCAACAAAACCCAGCUCUCAGCACGAAUCGCGCGCAAGAUCGAACGGCCAGCGAAUUGUAAUUCACUCGACUGUAAAAUAGCAAAUCCGUUCCUAUUUCGAUCUCGAUCAUGAUUCGUAUCCAGCCUCCUCUAUACGGGAUUUUCCAAACUCGAUCUAUUUAACCCACCACUUGGCACUUGCUCCGCCAAAGCCACAAGGAUUUCUUCACACCGGGCGAUACACAUCUUUGAAUCCCGCCGAUGUCGACGAGCCCGAUGCCGCUGCCGUGCCUCGCAUUCCAAAGCGUGGAUGAUCGAUCCACGGUACUCUUCAGCUUGUCGGACAAGAAGCCCAUCGCCGCCGGCGGUGACAUCGGCGCGCUGGAGAACAUGAUCAUAUGUCCGACCGCCCGUGGCUUCAUGUUGGCCCGGGACCCGACCUCCCUGUCCACUUUCCUGUGGAGCUCCCAGAGCCGCCUCAAGAUCAGGCUCCCGCCCCUGGGACUCGACGUGGACGACGACCUGCCAAUAGAGUGCAACUGCCUGCUGUCCGACAAGCCCACCGCUCCCGGAUGCGUCGUGCUCCUGGGCCCAGCCCGACGCCCCCCUCAUAUGGUUCUGUCACGUCGGGGAUAGCCAGUGGGAGAAGUAUGAGUACGACAUAGGAACCAUGGCUCUUCCGGACUGGGAUCCGCCGGAGGAGAAGGUGGUGAUAUGCCCGAUCGCGGCGUGCCGCGGCAAGUUCUACUUCAACAGCACGUCGACCAGCCUCGAUGUGAUCGACUUCUGCGGCGGCCUUGCUGCCCCGGUCUUCAGCUCGAUCGCCGUCGAGGAUACCAUUGGUAUGUGUCAUGGGAGCGUUUUCUUGGUGGAAUCUAGUGACCAGCUCUAUAUGGUACGCCUGUUCGGCGUCAAUGCCUCGGAGCCGUACCAUGGCGCCACCGUUCACAUGAUGGAUUUCUCGAAGCGGCAAUGGUGCGAAGUGGACGACCUCGGCGGCUGCACGUUCCUCUUGUCCAUCUAUGAAUUUGGCGCCUCGUUCUCCGGUGACGGCAGUUGUGGUUUGCGGCAGGAUUGCGUCUAUUUCCCGGACCGUCACCGGAAAACAUUGCAGGUGUUUGACGUAAAGGAUGGAAGUAUAGAGCUGCAGAAACUUGAUGAAGCUCCGGCGUCAGAUAGAGCAUUCUGGGUGCUUCCUACCGAUCUGUAGAUAGAGCAGCAAAAGAAACCAUAACUUCUGUUUCAUGUUAGUUUUAGUUGUCGUCCACCCUCUGCCAAUUUCGGUUUUGUUACUUGUGUCGGUUUUGUCACCAAAUUGUGUAAUUCUUCUUAGAAUAAUAAAAAAAUACUGUCAUGUUUCUUUAGGGAAUGUAUUAGGCAUCUCUAGCAGACCCCUUAAAAUGCAUGAAACUAUAAAAUAACCGCCAGUUUACAGUUUUAGGCGGAAAAAGCGACCCGAAUAGAACCCCUAAACGACUCCGACAUGUAAAAAAAAUUGAUGGGGCGCGGAAAACAUCCCCACCGAACCCAGUCACCGCCCUGCUCAUCCGGGAAGCCGCCCCACCCGUCCGGGCCGCCGCCCGUCCAUCCCCGGCCGCCGCCGUGCUCAUCCGGGAAGCAGCCCCACCCGUCCGGGCUGCAGCCGCCCCACGCGUCCCCGCCUCUGCUCGCCAGAUCAAAGCCUUAUCGUUGUCUCCCUUGGCCUCCACCGCCUGAGCUCGCCAUGGCCACGACGGCGUCAGAGCGCACGCACCAGCAGUACCAGCCGAUGCGGCGCAUGGAAGGCUUGAGCCUGGGUCUAUGCUGUGCAGCGACCCGCGCGUCCCACAGUUCAAUUUCUCAAAAUCAGAUGUAUGUAUGCGUGUUCAGAGCAUCUCUAGCUAACCGUGGACACGGGCGAGAGGAAGAAGAAGGCGUGGGAAAAUAAAUAUAAGUGAAUAUUCGGUUUUUGUCGUUUGACUCGGGAAUCCCUGAUAAAAGCUUUUAGUCCGUGCCUGGCAGUUUCAGCCGUGGUCCGGUUUAUAAAGUUUGAAGGGUCUGUUCGGCCGCAGCUCAAAUCGACCCAUAAAAUGUGCUUUCCGCGAACUGAAAAACACGCUUUCAUUUCCAUGGUUUAAGGGGUAUGUUAGAGAUGCUAGAGAUGUUCUUACUCACGUAGCAAUGCUACCAUCAGAAUUACAAAGAUUCACGACUUUGUCAGGUCAUGAUGAGACCGACCUGACGAAGUCGUCAGUGACCAGCCUGACUUUUCUUUGGAAGUGGACCGUCCAUCCAAAGUGCAAAACAGACUUUCCCUUGCUAGUUCUUGUUGAGUCGCAAAUAUACACUGAACAUAGCUCCACAAGAAACAUGCCGAGGCCUCAACUGGACAGAGGUCCGUAAGCUCAAGAUUUCGAGAGAGAAAUACUGCCAUGUUAUUAGCGCAGACACAUCUUUGAUGUUUUCAACUACGAUUUAUAUGUUGUUCAAUUGAGUCUCGCGAAUCCAAAAGGUGAUGCACGAUACUAGCAACAAAUGGGCUUCUUCUGGAAAGAGUAUAAACUUUAUGUGCACUUGCUGUUUCGCAGCACUACUACCAAAUUACAGCGCAAAGCCAUGAAUUUUAGGAUAAAAGCUGUGCUAGCAUUGUGCGGGAACAUAAUUAGAGAUACAUGACUAGAAGAACCAGCAUAGAGCACUUUGACAUUUAACUUGCUACAAAAAUAAUGCACACGUGACUUGAGCAUUGACAUUACUUCCUCCGUUCCUAAAUAUAAGUCUUUCUAGAUAUUCCAAUGCGGACUACAUACGAAGUAAAAUGAGUGAAUCUACACUCUAAAAUAUGUCUAUAUACAUCCGUAUGUAGUCCUUGUUAAAAUCUCUAAAAAGACUUAUAUUUAGGAAUGGAGGGAGUAAGAGAAAUCAAAACAUAAAAAUGUAUCACUUUGCUUUGCCUUACGCGGUUAUCCACAUUAAGCAUCCUAGCAGGAAGGGCCGCCUCAAAAUGAAUUGAUAACAACUUCAACCAUUACUUUAUUCCGUAUGACAUAGGAACCCAAGCUCUUCCAGGUUAGGGUCCGCCGGAGGAGGAGGUGGUCAUAUGCCUAAUUAUGACGUCUCAUGGCAAGUUCUACUUUUUACUGAAGGCGCAAGAAAAUUGCGCGUCAUUCAUUAAGAUGGGAGAAAAGGUACACAAAUCACAGGAAGACAUACAACCUCAAACCAAUAUCCACCACACCACCUACAAGAAAUACUAUAUGGAUUGGUGACAAUGGCACGUGAAAAUGAUGUGUGGGAGAAGAUUAAUUACAGAGUUAUAAACUUAUAAUUGAAGAUUUCAUUUCCAGAAAUACUAGACGGAUUGUGUUUUCCGGUAGAACAGGAGGUCAAUUUAUUGGUUUAGUACUGGCCUUUACUAAUUUAGCAUUAAUAUUUGAUGUAUUUAUGAACAUUGCAUGAAGUAACACAUUUUGAAGUUAUGUUAUUAAGAGAGGGUAUGAUUUAUAGUCAUAUGAAUUUUUUCAAUUUUCAGAGCCCCGCUUUACAUUUUGCCCGAGGGCCCAAAUUCGUAGAGACGGUUAUGUACAUUGGCUAUUACAAAAUGAAUUCUAAAAGGAUGGAUUAGAGAAAAUGAACGUAUAUCCUUAAGUAUACAUAGUACAGAGAGCUGCUUUACAGAAACAUGAACAUCAGUCAAAGAAUUGUGUGAUAAUGUAUCCUACUAAAAAAAUUAAAAGUUGAAUUGUUCUUUGUCUAGUCCCGUAUAUGCAUCGGUCCUUCAGCCAAAGCCCAUCACCUUUGGCGCGAAUCUCAAGAAGCGGGUGAGCGAGUUGGGCAGGAACUUCCUCGCGAAUAGGAAGCAGACGGUGGUGGUCUUUCCAUUGUACUCACAUGUCGUCCCGCCCCUGAGCCACCGCAGGAAGUCCACCGUGACCUCCAUCCUCGUGAACCUUGACGGGUGGGGCCCGCCAUGGGACCAGUCAACCCACGUCACAGUUCGUCCGGCGGCCACCUCAGGGUGGCGGAUGUGGAGGAAUGUCGGAAGGUAGUGCUCGUCGGCGUAGCAGUUGCGCUUGCAGAACUUUUUGAAGACCGGGAAGUAGACGUUGUCGGCAACGACGUCAAUGGCAAGGGCCCGGUCCAUCUCGAACCACUGUGAGCCCUUGCGCCACUGCCAAGGGGUGAUGGUGGGUGCCAUGCCACGCUUGUACCGGCCCCGGCCCGUCCCGCCGGGCUCGUCGUAGGACUCCAUGUACACCUUGGUGGAGUUGGUGAGGUAGGAGUAGACGGUGGGGAAGUCAAAGAGUGGGACGUGCGACUCCGACAGGAGGAUGAAGCGGGCGUUGGAGUGGUCCAACAGUGCGUGCGCCAGGAGACGCCGUUCGGCUUCCACCAUGCUUAUGUGGCCCCAUUUUACCUCCUGUUUGUGUAACAAUGGCAGCAUGUUUAGUGAAAUUGUAUGAUUAUAAAUGCUAUAAGCUCUCUUUAACAAUAUAUCAUGAUACGAUGAUCUGUAGUCAAAAUAACUUCAUACACUAUACGAUGUAUGACUCUUUUUUUCUUAAAGGUAUGAUGUAUGACUCUUGUAAUUUGUAGCUAGUUUGGUAGUUCUAUUUUUCUGGUUCUGUAGGCAAAGAGUCUUUUCUGUGGCAAUGUAGGCAAAGACAAUGGUUCCAGUUUAGUCACACACAAAAAAGACAAUGGUUUCAGUUAAAUGAAAUAGAACAGGAAGCCCUUUUUAAAAUACUAGAUGAUGUCCUAGAAUACGCGCAAUCAAACUUUGUUGCUAUGCUUCAACAUGUGAGAUCAAUACCACAAUAUUUGUAGUAAUAUUUUAACAAAUACUCCCUCCGGUCCUUUUUACUUUGCAUAUAAGGAUUGUCUAAAGUCAAACUUCGUAAAGUUUGACCAUAUUUAUAUGAAAAAAUAUUAACAUCUACAAUGCUAAAUUUAUACAAUAUGAAAACUAAAGUUAUGACGCAUCUAAUGUUGUUGAUUUCACAUUUUGAAUGUUGGUAUUUUUUCCUAUAAACUUGGUCAAAGCUUACGAGGUUUGAUUUCAGACAAAUCUUAUAUGCGAACUAAAAAAGACCGGAGGGAGUAUCGUAAUUUCACAAGAUUUUAUUGGCACAUUCAUGUGAAAAACAAAGUAAUUUUUUCAGUGUGGACGGUGUAUAAGUCCAACAUAGUUCUAUGUUAUAACCCCUGUGAACAUUUAUCGUGCAAAAUUAAGGUGAUUCUCUAGGCCCGUGUACAAAUGCAUACGGUUUUUUUGUACACAUGCAUACGUGAGCUACGGGAGAUGAGAGUAAUUAACUAAGAAGAUUCUCAAGGCCCAAGUACACGUGCAUGCAUACGCACGCAAAGUGCCCAAGAUAUUCUUUUCUUUCAGGAGGAAAGAUUUACUAGAAAAGGGUACGUAUGCAUUGUCACUGUUCCCAUACGCAAAGUGCCCAAGAUAAUUCUUCUCGGGAUCUAUGCUAUGCGUCUAGGUUUGCAUGUUUACUGGUAGUACAGUUAAUUUUUAUGUCAGGCAUCUUUGGGUCAGUUCACCGCAUAAGAGCAUCUACAGCCGGAUACACAAAUCCGGCCCUCAAACACCCAUGGAGCGGUUCGCACGCAGUGAUCAAUUAGACUUCAAAUUUUCAUUUUCAUAACUGGAUACCUUAAGUAAGAAAUCUCAAAUCCAUACAAUUACAUACACGUGAAACCUAUUCUAAACGGAUCGUCCGACUCCACUUAUCCAUGUCCGACAGCCGGCUGCGCCCCUCAAAGUAUUGCUCCGAUCGCCGGCGAGGUAGAGUAGAACAUGAGAGACAAAACGGCUCACGGGACUCAAGCGCCGCCGUCUCCCAUGCCCUAUUCUUAUCGUCAGAGAGCGUCGCCUGCAUGUUGCCUGUCGACAUGAGAUCGGUGAUGGAUCCAUCAUGGUCAAAGCCAGAGAGUGCGACUCCGGCUUGGCAACAUCCGCCACGAAGGGCUGCCGUGGCCUCCCGCGCCCUCUGCCUCCCACGGCAGGCACGCCGUGCCAUCGAUGAUAGCCAUCGAGUCAGAGCGCCAAGCAAGCGGUUGCGCCUCUGCCACGAUGUUCGGAUGCCAGACGGAACGCACCGCCAGUGGCGACGCACAUCUCACCGGAUCCAAGUCCCACUUGGGCGGACGUGAUGAGCUCCCGCCGGAGCGAGUCCGACCACUGUCGGGCGCUCUCCUCGUAGGCGCGUGGAGCGCACUGGAGAUGGCCAUCUCCUCCUUGGAGCCACAUGGGAUGAGUUCCGAGUCAACGAAUCGAAAGGUGUAGGACUCGGAUUCGCUGCACGCCAUGCUGGAGAAGUACUAAGCUCGCCAGACAGGAGCUUGACGGUGAAGUGGAGUUGAAAGACUAGGAUUUGGUCCAAGGAGCAGAUGGGAAUGGAUAAAUGUGAGUCGGAUCCUAUGUGACGUACUCAUCCGGUCGCGCCCGGGCCACCCCAUAUCCUCCCCCUAGAUUUGAGUUAGAUAUGAGAGGUGCCGGUUAACCCAGAUAUUUAAAGCCAGUCUGAGGCGUUCAUCUAGAUAGUUUUUUUUUUGACCGGUUAGCGAACAGGCCGUUCGCCCGAACGCUUUGAGGGGUGUUCGAGACGCACGGUUGUAGUAGAUGCUCUAACUGUCUUUUUUUAGAAAAGGAGCAAUACCCCUAGCCUCUGGAUCUGGACGAUGCAUACAGCCAAUUUAUUAAUUAUUAACACAAGACCUUACAAAGUCGUACAACAGUAAGACCAAAGCCACCAUCUUCGCAACCUCUGUCGCUACUCCUAUCUAACUGAUGAAGGGGCGCUGAUGGUCUGGGCCUAAUACCAAACAGACCUCGCAACCAAACCUAACAUCUAAGACCUAAGGUCCCAAGCAGGACGCCUGCCGGGUAUGGGCACCCACCAGUCCGACGUGCUCCUCAACCAGGACGCCUGCCGGGUAUGAGGCCGCCACAGCCACCUGCCACAUAUCCAUCUUCAGAGCUUUACUGUUGCAUCGGCCUUGCCCGGUCUCGCUGCCGCCGACGCCACCACGACGCCAGACAACGUCGACCUCCUGCGCGUGUCCAUCACCACACAUCUGACGCCAAGCCUCCGCUGCUCCAUGCCGCCAAGAGCCGCCGCCAAGAAUAUAUAGAAAGAAACACCGCUCCACCGAAAGGGAGGCAGCACAUCCCCACCCCUCACCUGCAGACCCUUCCAUCCGAUCCCAAUGUCCUUGGCGUCGCCUCCAGGAAGGUUACGGUGCACGGGGCGCCGCCGACGCCCGAUCCGCAUCGGAUCUUGGGCUUUCACCCGGACAUGGGUCGGAGUGGAGAGAUGGUGCCCUCAGCAGCGUCCCCCAAGGAGGAAAGCGGCGCCAAAAAGCGGCGUCGCCGCUGCCGGCCAACCAAGGCGGCCAAGGUUUCCCCCGGACAACGAUCUGCUCCACCAGAACACACCAGAGGUGGAUCCGGCAAGAUCCAAACCAAACCGGGGACUGGGAAGGGAUGCAUGGAAGGGAAGGGGGCAAUACCUCCAGAUCUGGCACGCCUGCGGCUCGCCGUCCUCACGGCCGAACCCUCAGGCACGCUGCACGUCACGCCAGCAGGGACCGCCGCCCUGGAUCCGAUAGCCUCCGUGAAGAAGCGCCGAAGACCCCGCCGCCACCUUUCCCGGCGGUCGUCUCCGGUGGCGGCGAGGGGGGUGGGGGAGGUGGGGGAAGGCGGCGGGGGAAAACCCUAGACUCCCCCGAGUCGCCCUAGGGGCGACGCGAGGGACGGGAGGGACGUGAUUCAGCUAAUCAGAUGCUCUAACUGUCUAACACAUGGUAUAUUGUCGAUCAAUCCCCUUCCUGUUUCGCCUUUGACGAGCUCGAGUCUGAUGACAACUUGGAAGGCCGCGUGAAUUGCCCUGAAGUAGCUGGUGCCCUGUGCGCUGAUGGCGAUAGGGAGGUCGAUGAUCACGAGGCAUGCCAUGCAAGAAAGGCACGGCUUCGAUGGAGAGCAUUGGGACAACGACCACCCACUUUCCUACAAUUUUGGCUUCGUUUGCAUCAAUGAUGGAGCCGUGGUACAUGGGCCACUAUGGACGUGUGGCGAGACCAUUGCAACAUGUGCACAUUGAAAAUGAGAGAACGUACCAAGCGAAAGAGGUUUGUCAAAAAAUAAAUGUCCGUCCGUCCAAGUGAUUCUGUCUGUGCAACUGUGGGGUUGUCGGAGAGGUUGAUGGCGAUGAAGUCAGGCCCACGUGAGUGCCGUGAGGCCGCUGCGUGCGCUCGCUAGCGCUGGUGCUUUACGUGUUGUUGUUGUUGUUGGCUGGGUGAUAAUCGAGGUCGGCCGACGAGGCGAUCGAGGGACGUCGUGCACGUGAUGUGGCAUAGUGGAGGGGUUCUGGGGACUAACGACAUAAUUAAGCAAAGCAGCAGAUAUAAUUUUAGCUUGGGUAAUAGUAGAGGACAUAAUGGUGUAAAUCAAUUGAAUAUUGACUAUUAACGACAUAGUGAGGUGUCUGUGAUGAUUUCAUCAAUCUUCAAGGUCCGCGGCUUCGAUCCGGUUUUCAGUAAGCAUUAUGUGAGUGUGUGUGUGUGGUGGCGUGAGUGAGUGUGUGCAUCUACGUUGUAAUUAACAGCUCUGAAAAAUACAAUAGUGUAACAUAUAAUUGUAAAAGAAAAAAAGAGAUGCGUUUUCCAUCCUCGAGAAGAACGAGAGCGGCGUGUAAUUUGAAAUAACAAUUUUCACAAGAAAAACAAAAGGGAAAGACAGAAACGAAAGCGUCGUUCUCCAGCAUCUUGGAAUGCAUCGCGCGAUCUCGCGCCCCGUGUGGAACUCCGCGCUUCCUCUUCCUCCCCAUGUGGCCGCGUCGAUGGAGCCAAUCAACUACUGGCACAUCGCGUGCGCAGCCAAGACACACGGCGGAGCAUACACAGUGAUACCAUACGUACCACUAGUAGUCCAAGUUAACCGUCUCCUCGUGACACCUAGCUGGCUCCGAUGGACUUUCCUAUCCUUCUCCAAGGACGACGACGACACUCCAUCUCGUGUCAAACUAGACGUCUCACUUUUCGUGUAAAAUCAGGACCGAAUUAGCGGGUCAAGUCAUGCAUGCAUGCAUGCAUGAUGCACGCAUCUUGAAAGCCUAGCAUGCAUGCAUGUGGGAGGCGCGUCAAUGCCGUGGAGUGAGGAAUGCCGCCGUGCAAAUUCAUGCAUCCAAGAAAUCGACUACUACCACUGGUUGUUGUUUUACUACCAAGAAGUGAGCAGGGAAAUAAGCUAGGCAUCGAUCCAGUGGGCGUGCAUGUGAUCGUGAUGACGAUGUGCACGCACGUACCUUGCUGGGGAUGUGUCGGCGGUGGAAGGCGGAGCCGCUGUCCGGGGCGGCGGCGGAGGCGUUGAAGGCCGGGUCGGUGUGGACGUAGACGGAGUAGAGCCCGCGGUGGCCCUCGAAGAAGCGCUCCCACAGCGGCGCCAUCGGCAGGUCCCACUUGGCCAGGAACAGGAACGCCACCUUGGGCGCGGCCCCCGCCCCCACGCGCACCGCCCUCGGCGCCGCCGCCGCCAGCGCCAUCAGCCGGUCGUCGUCGUCGACCACCGCCCGCUCGCCGUCCUCAUCACCAGUGGUCGCAUGCACAGGCAGAGCCGGACGCUUGCUGUCGCUGCCGGCAUCAGCCACCGGCGGCGACGGCGGAGACGAGACGCCGGCUGCUGGUGCCGCCUGUGGUUGUACUGGCAGAGCCGCACGCUUAUUAACGCCAGCGUCGGCCACGGGCACCGGUGGCAUGGACGAGACGAUGGCUGCUGGUGCCGCAUGUGGCUGCACCGUCCGUGGUGGCUGCCGGCGCCGCACCUCGGUGGACACGUUGACGGGGGGCGACGGGAAGAAGAGCUCGAGGGCGGCGCCGGGGAGGGCCGACGACGCCGUGGAGCCCAUCAGGGAGAGCGUGGCGACGAUGCCGAGCGCGAAGCCGAGGGCGACGAGCAGGGGCUUGGUGGGGCAGGGAGUCGCCAUGGCCGCCACAACCAUCUGCGCCACGGCACGCUGCUGCUGCUUAUGGUUGUCCUUCGCGCUCAUGGCUGGCUGCCCGCCUGCCUGCCUGCCUAGUGUCGUGCGGGAGACGAAGGGGCGAUGGAUCGCUGCGGCUUCACGGCAUGUAAAGGCGAGCCGGCGGGGGCGGCAUCUGGGGCCGGGCGGUCGCCAUUCACGGAGCCGUGUAAAUAGAAAAUUUUGUGAACAGUGUUGGUGGGAGGAAUCUUCGGGGGAGGGCAGCCGGCGGCCAAAUUGGACCGGGAGGAAAGGAAUGAGCUUCGAUGGACCGGGCGGGGGCCCACGGGAGGGAGAUGACUUGGUCCUCCUGUCUGCUUCUGGAUUCCUCGUCGCGAUCGGUCGGUUCUUGCCGUGCAUUGAACCAUUGAACCCGACUCUUCUCCUCUCCCCUCCCACCACACAAUUGGCGCACGCGCACCAGCAGCUCAAGGACCGUCUCAACAGUUGGACUGCAUGCUUAAUGGUGUGUUUAAACCCCUCACGGUGUGGUACUAUCAUAAAUCGGUAUCGAGGGAAAAGUCUAAAAUAAACGCAAACUCAUAUGGCUCACUGGGAUUGAACCUUGAACUCUUCAACGGGACGCUUCUACGAGUGCUUAGCCAAACCCCCGGUCCGCCAGCGGCGGUGCCAACACCAAAAGGCUGUGGGUUCAAAUGCACUAAUCUCUCUAAAAUCUUCUAUUUUUUUCACAAAUAUGAGUAGAACUAGGCUUGCAAUUAAAAAACCUGUGGGGUCAGCUGACCCCACAGGUUACACAUGGAAUCGCCACUGCGGUCCGCCCCAUCUCCGAUAGCCUUCGGGCCAUGGAGAUGCGGAGGAUCUCGGUCCCCCGCUGGCGGAAGGGACGUAAUUUCCGUUCUCAUUAGAUUCAGCAUCUUGGUUGGGCCUGUGUGGCGGCAACGAUGUCCCUUAGUAGGAAUAAUGUCUCCCACAUUCUAUCGCCGUCACGAUGGCGUGUCUAGCAUUGUUGGAAGGCGUGUGGAGGUGUGUUUUCGUUGGAUCUUACAAGAUUCCGUCGGUGUUGGUCUUCAGUGGAUCUGUUUCAUCCGGUCUUCAUUCGUCUUCGUUUGAGUGUUUACAUGUUUGAUCCUUCUGAUCUACGACGUUCUUCAUCGGCGAUACUUGCUGCUCUCGUGCACUGAGGACUUAGCACGCCGACUGCUCGGCUAUCUACUAGUUUCUUCCCUACAGUGAUGGAAGGGCGAUGACGAGGCUAGUUGGUCCAGUACUUGUAGUCGUCGCUAGGUGGUCCACGGUCAUGGUUGUAUUUUUUAUUAUCUUUAUUAGUUUUUGUACUGUCAUGAUUGAAGAUGAAUAAAUUUGAAGUUUCUCAUAAAAAAAUACAAUAAAUGUUGUAGAAUAAUAAAAAACACCUUAGCGUCUCCUGCUCCAACUGCGGAUGCUAACUUCACAUCAGAAAUGCCCCAGUUGUGCCUGGAUAGUUAGCACCCCUACUCCAUAUUAUUUUCCUCGUUCUUGAGGCCAACCGACCUCAAUGACACUGAAGUCAAUUUCCUGUACCAUGUUUUUUUUUCUUUGCAAAAGUCCUGUAACAUGGUCACCUUGCCAAAAUUUGUUUUCUCUGGAGGGAACUAGACUGAAGCAAAACACGCAAUUAACAGGCUAAUAAUCAGACAAAAUAGUACAGAUCGUGUGAGUGCUUGUACCAGAUAUAUAAAUGAGCUCGACAUUGUGUACCGAUCGACAUGUCUGGGUGAUGUAGUUGGUUAUCACGUUAGUCUCACAAAGAGCUAUCUCGUUAUGGCUCACUGUCAAAUUUUCUUUCAUAUCCCGUCAAAAAAAAUCUUUCAUAUGUCUUUAUGUCAACACAAAUAUAUCUGAGUAAUAACAACUUUUUGUUGAGUAACAACAACUUGCCCAUGUGCUUAAUGUGGAAAGUGGACUUACUCCCUCCUUUUCGGUUUAUAGGGCUUAUCUCGAAAUUUUCGAUUUCUCAUUUUAUAAGUCUCAAUUUGAUGGUUCCCUACCACAUGUUCAGAUUUUAAGGUGCAUUAAAUCACUGAAUGCAAGUAUUGAGAGAAAAUUAACCAAUGCAUAGACUUCAUGCAUGCAUGUAUUGCAAUUAAUGCAUUGGUAAAUAUAAUUUUUUAAGGAAAACGAGUGCAUUAAUUGAAUGUUUUUGCAAACUACAAAAUUUAUUCCACCACUCACCAUCUACCUUGGUUGAUGAGAUUUUUGAAUUGAGACCUAUAAACCGGAAAGGAGGUAGUAUAAGACUGCUCACCGUUGGCCAACAAGGUUAUUGCUUUCGUCUAAAUUUACGUUCUCUCUGGAGGAUAAACACAUUAUCUUUCACUAACCAAAUUCACAUGUAUGCUCACAACUUCUCGUGAAUGCUUUUAAAACCAAUUAGUCUCAGCCAUUCAAAGCCUAACCGAAACACAACAUGCAUCAUGUAAUUAUUAUUUUUGUUGCAUGAUUAUUCACUUGAUGUACACUGAUUAGGCAAUAUCUCCAUACAGUUAAUUCAAGUAUCACCUUCAAUUCCUUAAAGUGCCAAGCUACCAUUAUGUCACAGCCCUAGAAUUGCUUGUAGUUAGUUGCAUGAAAGCAUUCAUGUCAUCAUGUCUAAUUCAAAUGAAUUUGAAUUGGGGAUGACCAAACCCUAGCACCAAAUGAAUUCAACUAGGUUCAAAAUAAAAAUAUUUUCAUUAAACCCAAAAUGCCCUUCAAAAAUGUUCAUUAUUUAUGGAAAAAGGUUAAAACCUUUACCAGAGGUCAUGCACAUUUUUCCAAGGCAUUUAUGGUCUUUGAAAUUAAUUCAAACAUAUUUGAAUUGGAGCUAUUUAAAUGCUAUAUACAUUUUAGGUGCUCCAAAAAUGUUGGAAAUUGUUAUGGGUCAGUGGAAUAAUUCAGACAGCACCCCUAAUUAUUUCCAGGAUUUUAUAAAAUGGUUUAGUAUUUUACUAAAUCAAAACAAAACAAAUUAAACUAGAAAACAGAAACAAUUAAGUAAGAGAGAGAGAGAAGGCCACUGGGCCCCUCACCUGGACAUACCUGGCGCCCCACCACGGCCCAGGAGCUGGCCCAGCCCACCAGAGCCGCCACCGUCUCCCACCUCGCGCCAGAAGGACGCCAGAGGGACGCCGGGCGUGUGGUCGCCGCGCGCGAGGCCACCUCCUGCUUCCGCCGCUUCUGGACGCCUCCACGAGUGCCACGGCACCUCCCCGACCCCCUCUCACUUCUCCCUCACUCGCUGCACUCCCUCCCCUCCCUUGUCUCUCUCCCCGCAGCACCACCGAACGGAGCCGUCGACACCGUCGCCGUUGCCGUGGCCACCGGCCACCCCUCGCCCCGCCGAUGAGUCCACGAGCUCCGCCUCGACGCCUUGAAGCUCCCCCUCAACGCGAGCAUCGCCGGACGCCCUGUCGCCUCGCCAUCGACCCGUCGUCUCCGCGCACGGCCGUGCAUCGCCGCCGCCAAAUUCCGACACCGUCCGUGCCUCCCCGAGCUCGCCAAGAACCUCUUCGUGACCGCGGUGAGCACCCGGUCAUUUCCCCCCUAACCCUGCUCCCCGUUUGGUUGCCGUAGCACCGUUCCCCACGAGCACCGAACCACGCCGCCGCCCGAGCUUCUCGCCGCCGUGGCCACAGUCGUCAUAGCUCCCAACCGAGCACACCCACGUACUCACCGCGCCGCGUAGGUGUCGUAGGAGCUAAGCACGCCACUCCACGGCCACCGCAGCCCCGUUCCCGAGUGCGCCCGAGCUCCGGCCGCCGCGGUCGAGCUCCUCGCCAUCGCCUCCGGCCACCCCAGGCCCGACUGGCGCCACCGCCCGACGCGCGCUGGUAUGGGCUCUCGAACGAGCCCAGCCACGCUGCGAACGGGGCACCACAGCCCGCGCCCGAGUGCCCCGCCGCGUCUGGCCUCGCCGGCGUCACGACGCCGGUGGGUUUGACCCUGCUUGACCGGGGUUUUGACUUCCCCCUGACCCACUGACGUGUGGGGCCAGCCCCUGUUAAAAGUUAGUUUAGUUUAAACCUAAACUUAGUAGGCACUGAGAGACUGACAGGCAGGUCCCACGGGUCAGGUUUGACCCUGGCCAGCCAUUGACUCGCUGACGCAGUGCUGACGUCAGGCUGACGCAGUAAAGCACUAUCUGGAUUUAAGUUUAUUCAGGAAAUUCCAGAAAAUAGUAUAAACUUCUAAAAAUCAUAUAAAAUCAACCGUAGCUCAGAAUGAAAUAAUUUAUAUAUGAAAAAUUAUCAGAAAAAUGCAAUCUAUCUAUCUGUAUCAUUUUCAUGCAUGUCAAACUAAGUUAUACCUGCUGUAUAGGUGAAAACAUGAUAAUGCACUAUUUGAAUUCAUAGUUCGAAUUUGAAUUUGAACCUUGAGUUCAAAUCAACCCAAACCUUUCUGUUGCUAGUUGCGUUAGGACAAAUCACGUCAUAUUGCCAUGUCAUGAUCAUGCAUCAUAUUGAGCAUUGCAUUGAUUGUGUUUCCUUCUCUGUUGCCGGUGAUUGCCCCCUCUCGAUAGCCGUGAUUCCGACGACGUGAUCGAUGACACCGAUGAAGAACUAUACUAUCUUCGGAAGUGUCAGGCAAGCAAAACCCCCCUUGUUCAUUCCGAUACAAUUCCAUUCUCUCGCUCCUGCUCUCUUCUACUGCAUUAGGACAACAUCGAUUCAACUGUUACAUGUUGCGGUAGUUGAACCCCUUUUCCUCUGCAUGACCUGUCGUUGCCACAGUAAAUAGAUGAAACCCACUAGCAUGAGUAGGAGUUGUUUGAGCCCUGGUGUGCCUACUCAUUCAUGCUUGUUUGUCAUGCCUGCUACUGCUUAGAGUUGAGUCGGGUCUGAUUCGUCGGGGAUGAAUUGGAAUGGUGAUGAACAUGUCCUACUGUGUGUGAGCUAAGUGUGUGAACACGAUUUGGUAAAGGUAGCGGUGAGAGGCCAUGUAGGAGUACAUGGUGGGUUGUCUCAUUGAAGCCGUCCUCAGGAACUGAGUUCUGUGUUUGUGAUCCAUGAUACAGUUACUACCACGCAUUGGGCCCGAAACCAAUGGACCCUCUCGGCUUCUUAAUCACCCUUGUCCUCUGUCCAGGAGUUGCAAGUAGUUUCUGGUGUUUGUAGUAUGCUGGAGGCCGUGGACAGCGCUGACCGAGGGGUGGGCUGUGAUGCGGUAGGCACGUGGCACGGUGUACCGGGCGCCCGUUUGGUGUCUCGGGAACCCUGCACACAUCGUUCGGGGCCGUAUGUGGAAACCUCGGCCGGACUCCCUGCGGAUGGAAUCUGAAUAGGCGAUAAACCUGGACUAGAGACUUGAGUGCUUAGGUAGGCUGUGGCCGACUCCCUCGCCAGGCUUCCGCUUGAAGGUUGCCGAGGUACACGACGUGUACAUGGUGGUAAGUGGCGAGAGCGUGUGUGACGAAGUACACCCUUGCAGGGUUAACAUCAUCUAUUCGAAUAGCCGUGUCCGCGGAAAUGGACUUCUGGGUUGCCUAUAACAGUUCAUAGACAAGUGAAAGUGGAUACUCUAAAAUGCGCAAGAUAAGCGUGAGUGCUAUGGAUGGCGUUCUCGUAGGGAGACGGGAGCGGGUCCAUAGUGGAGUAUUGAUUUGGUGAAUAUGUGGACUCGUGUGCGCCAUCUCAAAAGAGUUACUUGCAGUCGUAGUUCAGGUUAGUCACUGAGUCAAAGCUGGCUUGCUGCAGUUAAACUCCACCACCCCCUUUGUUGAUACCGAUGCAUAUGUAGAUAGUUCUGAUGUAAGUCUUGCUGAGUACAUUUGUACUCACGUUUGCUUAUUUUAUGUUUUGCAGAGAGACGUCAGUCUCACUAGUAGUUCCGUGUGGACUUCGACGUUUAGCUUGAUACCUCAGCUACGAUCUUGUGCCCUCGGCAGGAUCUAGUAAAUAGUCAGGCUUCUCAGCCUUUUCCAUUUGUAGAUGUCUGUACUCAGACAUGUUGAGCUUCCGCAUGUGCUUUGACUUGUAUGCUCUGAGUGUUGGGUCAUGAGACCCAUGUUUGUAAUAUCUGGCUCUUCGGAGCCUAAUGAAUAAAUACUCUGAGUCGUAGAGUCUUGUUGUGAUGCCAUGUUGUAUUUGCACAUAUCGAGCAUAUUGUGUGUAUGAUUGAAAUGCUUGGUAUGUGUGGGAUCCGACAAUCUAGUUGUCUAUCCUUAGCAGCCUCUCUUAUGGGGAAAUGUAGUCUAGUGCCUCCUUGAGCCAUAGUAGUCCGCUACAGCCCGGUUCACCGGAGUCCUGCUAGCCCAGCACUACUGCUCCGGAACACUUGACUGGCCGGCAUGUGAUUCACUCCGUUCCUGUGUCUGUCCCUUCGGGGAAAUGUCACGCGGUGACAUCCGGAGUCCUGCCUAGCCUGCUACAGCCCGGGUUCCCGGGGUCCUGUUAGCCCAGUGCUACAGCCCGGAUUCGCACGCUGCUGACCGACAUGUUCGAUGUUGAUUCAUGUAUGCCUGUCCCCAUAUGUUAGUGCCGCUUUGGGUUCACGACUAGCCAUGUCGGUCCGGGUUCUCUGUCAUAUGGAUGCUAGCGACAUUGUCAUAUACGCGAGCCAAAAGGCGCAAACGGUCCCGGGCCAUGGUAAGGCGACACCCGUGGGAGUACCGUGCGUGAGGCCGCAAAGUGAUAUGAGGUGUUACAGGCUAGAUCGGUGUGACUUGGAAUCGGGGUCCCGACACAUUAACUGCAGAUUUGCCCAUAGUCAUCUCAGAAUCUGUUCCACGGGCUAGAAAUAAAUGAAACCAACAAUAUAUGACCAAGAGGCGCAUGCCAUAAGAAUACGAGCACCGAAAGUGUUCAUUAUUCUAUUUCACGCAGGUGUGUCGAGUUGCUUUAUUUAAACUUAAGUAUUCCCUCCUUCCAUCUAUAUAGGGUCUAAUGCGUUUUUCAAGGCUAAUUUUGACCGACUGUUCUCGAAAUAGGCUUUCGCCCCGCUAUAUAGAUAUAGCAACCACACGAUACAACUGAUAGUCUGAUGCUGGGGCAGACAGCACAAGCAAGCCCAAAAGAAAUAACAGAGGAAGAAAAAGAAACUAAUGACAACAGAGUCGGAUCGACGAAAACGAUGGUGACCCGCAACCGUUGCGCCCGCCGAGAAUUUCCACCACGCUCCUAGCACUUCGGACCGCCGCAUACCAAGCAACACCUUCAGGAAGGAACGCGACGAUGCCGACGCUGUUGCCCGGAUUGGUCCUAGGGUUUCCCCCGGUACACGGAGGGGCGUGUGGAAGAAGCAAGCCCGACGCCCUUCAGGAAGGAACAGUGGCGCGGGCGUCACCGCGUCGGUGCUGGCCAAGCCGAAAGGGAUUUCUCCCGUCCGCCACACAACCACCGCCCCGACCGCUCUGUCGCACUCCACCAAUCUUGCCGCCCACCAACAUGCGCCACCACGGUCUUUAGGUCACCACCGCCGUCUCACCAUGGAAAGUGAAGCGAGACCGACGGAUCCGAGAGGGGACAGCCGGGAAGGAGGAGCGGCAAAAUCAGCAGCUAUGCGGGAGGGGUCAACCUCCAUCGCCCUUGGCGGUCACCGGCCAGACGCAGCAAUAGGAGCACACCAGGCCCACGGCCCAGCCGAGCCAGAAAGGACUCGUGAAGCUCCCGUCACCAUGUUGUAGUUAGCGCCGCCGUCUCCGCAACCCCCCGCACGAGCCGCACCUCCGUCCGUCGAAGCCGUCGCAGACGAACAAGCGGCGAAGGGAAACCUACGAGGCCGAGAGGGGACAACCGGGAACGAAGAGCGGCACAUUCGGCAGCCACGCGGGAGGGGACAACCUCCACCGCCCAUGGCGGUCACCGACCGGACGCAGCAAGGAGAGCACACCUGGCCCAUGACCCGACCGAGCCAGACAAGGCUCGUGAAGCUCCCGUCGCCGCGCUGCAGUGCGCGUGCCUCCGUCUCCGCAACCCCCCGCCCGAGCCGCUCCUCCGUCUGUCGGUGCCGCCGGCCAGGCCCGCCCAGACCCAGAUGGGACCCAAAAGGGCCUAGAUCUGGGCCAGAAGGGCGCCGCCGCUGUCGCUGUGCCAGCCCACAACUAAGUGGCUGCGCCGCCGCCUCCUCACCAUCCGGCGCAGCGCCGCCACCGGAACCACCGCUGCCCGAGGAACACCACCGCACGGCUGCGACGGGGAAGGAAGACCACCCGCAGCACCACCGGAGGACCGAAGCCGGGCCCCCACCACCACCAUGGGGCACAGCCGCCGCGGGCCAAGCACCCAUCCACCGCCGCAGCACCGCAGUGCGCCGCCGACCGAAGAGAGAGCCGCCUUGCCGCCGGGCCCUGUGCACUCCCGACGCCACCGCCCAGGGAGGGAGCCCCACGCCCACCAGCACCAAGACGUGGAGGAGAGAUCCCCCGCCGCCAGCCACCGUGAGGGGCUUCGCCCUGGCGGUCCCGGCCGGCGGCGGAGGCGGGAGGAGGAAGGGGGGGCGCCCGCUUACACAAAGCAUACCGUCAAAUUCGUAUGUAAAAGGAGCUUCCAAUGAUAUUAUUUUCACAUUAUACAUCUUAUGUAUUAUAAAUCUUGUCAAUAGUCAAAUGCGGUAUUGAAAAACACAUUAGGCCCUUGGCAAGCCAAUAAGCAAAACACCCACGGUGGUUCUGGACUCUGCGGCGGCUGGAUGAAUAUUUCGUCGACUCCCCUAGGGUUUUGGGAAUAUUAGGGUAUUUAUAGAGCAAAGAGGCGGUCCGGGGGACACCCGAGGUGGGCACAACCCACCAGGGCGCGCCCUGGUGGGUUGUGCCCCCCGCAGGGCAUCCCCCAGGCGCAGCCAGGGCCCAUUAUGUUCCUUAUGGUCCAAAAAAAAUCUCCGUGAAGUUUCGUUGCAUUUGGACUCCGUCUGAUAUUGAUUUCCUGCGAUGUAAAAAACAUACAGAAAACAACAACUGGCACUUGACACUAUGUCAAUAGGUUAGUACCAAAAAAUGAUAUAAAAUGACUAUAAAAUGAUUAUAAAACAUCCAAAAUUGAUAAUAUAACAGCAUGGAACAAUCAAAAAUUAUAGAUACGUUGGAGACGUAUCACUUCAUAGUAGUGCUUAGUUUUUCAUCCAGUGUUUGCUUGGAGUAGUUUCGGGUGGUGUUUUGGUGACGUUAGUGUUGGCCUGGGUGAAAACCCGCUCUGACUUGUCAGGCCGCCGCCGGCGGCGUUCUAGCAUCGUCCCAUUCUUCAAGGCGUCGUCGCCGUAGCUCACUUGUCGCCGUGGUGCUCCGGGGGAAAGCCUAAUCCUUGAAUUGGGUGGUGGCAGCGCUCCGGUGUCGUUCCCUUCCUGAAGGCACCGUCUUGGAGCCCAUUGUUGGUCAUGCACGGCAUCCUCACCGCGGUGGCUCAUCCACGGUUGAGGGCCCUGACGACUUCAUAGUAGUGCUUAGUGUUUCAUCCGGUGUUUGCUUGGAGUAGUUUCGGGUGGUGUUAUUGUUUUCAGCGUCCUUGUAUCUAGCCUUGGGUGUGUGUGUUGUGUUGGUGUGGGGUGUGUAUUUGUAUUUGUAUUGGUUUGUUCGGUGAUGGUUGCUCUAUAUAUAAAGUGGGGAAAACCCCUUUUUCGUCAAUAAUCAUAUGUUGCUAUCAGUUCAGACAUUGCACUUAGCAAAUGUAAUCUUUUAUGGGAUUAGAUGUGAUUUUCUGUUCCGUUAUACUUUUUUUUUCGAAACGGAGGCAAAAGAUUUGCCUCAUCGAUUAAUUAAGAAGAAGUUUAGAGUUGCUUUUACAACGAAAAGCAAGGAGAUUUAAAUACAAAGCCACUACUCUCCCGGCAUUAUGAGACCCAAAUGUUUGGCUCCUGCCAUGACCCAAAGCUUAGCCUCCCGCUGAAUGUUGAGUAAUAGGACGGACGGCAGAGUAGACUUGUGUUGGAACACCCUAGCAUUCCUUUCACACCAGAUAGUCCAACAAGUUAACAUGGUGAGGGAAGCGAUGGCUUUCCGGUGUGGCACGCCGACGCCCGACAUGUUGAUCCACCAAUCGUGGAUGGAACGCCUAGUCAUCCAAACCGAGGUGUUGAUGAAGUCUAGAUUGAGCCAUCCCUUGAUCAUCCCCCAAAUUCUAGUGGAGAAGCGACACUUGUAGAAUAAGUGAUGAACGGUCUCGCCCGUUUGUUUGCAAAGCGGGCAGAGCCCACAGUUGGGCCACCCCCUUUUCUGUAAUCUAUCCGCCGUCCAGAUACGGUUUUGAAUCGCAAGCCAAGCGAAAAAUUUCAUCUUGGGUGGCGCCCAAGCCUUCCAAACCGCGAAGUGCAUGGACGAACGAACCGUCCCAAGAAGUUGCGCCUUGUACGCAGAAGUGGCGGAGUAAGCUCCAUCAAGAGUGUGCUUCCAAGUAAUUGUGUCCUCCGUGUCCUCCGAUAUAGGAAUGACUCGCAAUCGAGCCCACAAGGUGACGAUCUGCCGAAUGUGCUCCAUGGUCCAAUGGUCGGGAAGCUUAAUUGACGAUAGCCAUUUGUCCUCAUGCAUGGCCUCCCUAACAGUCCAAUUCUUGCGUUUGGACGCCUCGAAGAUGAGAGGGGCGAUGUUGGCGGGCUUAUCCCCAUCAACCCAAGGGGAAUCCUAGAAAGGAGCGCGCGCCCCGUUGCCUAUGGUGAUGUACGAAGAUGCAUAGAAGAGAUCUCGGUCCAGAAUAUCACAAGGGUUGGCCAUGCCCACCCACAUCUUGGAGGGCUCCGCCCAUUCAAACCACAACCAUCUCAAUCUAAGAGCUCUCGCGAAUUUGGUAAGAUCAAGGAUCCCCAAACCUCCCAACUCAUUCGGUCUGCAAACCAAAUUCCAGCUGACCUUGCAUUUCGCCCCUGUUACCUUGUUUGUGCCAGCCCAUAAAAACGCCCUCUCAAUCUUGGUAAUAUUACGUAGUGUACUCACCGGCGGUUUGAGAGCGAUGAUGUGGUAGAUCACCUGGGAGGUGAGGACAGAUUUGACAAGAGCUCCACGCCCAAUGGAGGUAAUAUUUUGCCCAUCCCACGGCACCAGCCUGGCAGCCACCUUGUCUUCAAGGAAUUGAAAGUCCGCCGCCUUCAGGUGGCGGAUUGACAGUGGCAGCCCCAAAUACUUGAUGGGGAAGGAGGUCCGAGCAGCGGGAAGCGCGGAGAGGGUCUCAUCCAAGUUUACGUUCCCGCACCGGAUAGGAACAACUAAGCUCUUUUGGAAGUUUGUACAUAAACCUGUAACCUUCCCAAAGUGAUUCAGGAUGAGGGCGAAGUUAUCAAUGUCCUGCUUGACCGGGGCCAUAAAGACGGCCGCAUCAUCAGCAUAAAGGGAGGUACGGAAAAUUGCACGACGCCCCUUAAACUUGUGCAACAACCCGCGCCUGGUGGCAAUGUCGAGGAUCUGUUGUUCCGUUAUACUGAUUGUAACAUUAAUGGGAUAUUGCGUACAAUGUUCUAAUGCUAAGCUAUUGUAAGUACUCAUUGUGGUUUCAACAUGAUGGUUGGUAUAUGGAGUUAAUAGCAUUAAUAUGAUGCAUAAGCCUUUCGAAAUUAAUUCAACUUAUCUGAAUUUUACUUUCCUCUCUUCUCUCAUGCUUAAGUUUCUUGCUCGUGUUUAGUAUGACGCGCAAGAGAGUUGAUGCCCGCCGAGUUCCAACUCUGAAGGAUGUGCAUCUCAUUUUACCUAAGCCACACUCCAAGUAGCAAAUCCCGAAUGGAAUGAUGUUUCUUUUCUUCUGGCACCGUGGAUUACCAGCUUGUGUUCCAAAAAACACGGCUGCCGGCCGUCCUUCCUGGCCACGACGGAGGCGGCCGGGUCGAUGAUGCUCUCCGGCUGGUUCUGCUCCGCGAAAGAGAAGCUGAGGCGGCUCCUGGCGGCACCGUCGGCGCCGCCGGGCUGCUGCCUGACGGAGGGGACGCGGCAUGUUUUGGAGGAAACUACACUGUGUUGAGUUUAUAAGCACAUCUUUUCGUCGUUUCCACUGAAGGAAAUACGCGACUGAUAAAUAAACUAUAAUCAGAUGAAAUAGUACCUUGGUAGGCUGGUGGUGGCGCUUCGACGAAGAAACAGAUAAUGGGGACUGCUUCUGUCUUGGAUAAAUAACUUUGUUCCACGGAUUAAAUCAACAUGUCUGGGUGGUGUAGUUGGUUAUCACGUUAGUCUCACACACUAAAGGUCCCCAGUUCGAACCUUGGUUUAGACAUACAUCCAUUUUUGUUUUGUUUCUUUGGCUUUAGAUUUAGAUACAUUGCACAAAAAGGUCAUUCGCAACUCAACUUUUUUCCUUCACAUGUCUUCAUUUAUCAUCUUACCAAAUAAACUGAGCGCAACACCUUCAGACCAAUUUGCCCAUGGGAGCACAACGUGGAAGGAAAACCAUUAUAAUCGGCCAGCGUUCUCGCUCGCGAUCAUCGGUCUUGGAUUGCUUGUCCGUUAUUCAGAGAGUUAACUCCCCGACGGUUAAUCGUUCUCCAGUGAUCAAGGCCACGGUACUGGUAGACAUAUUGUUGUAGCCGAGCUCCGUGCUCUGAUCGCUGAAGACAAGGAGUUCAUUGUUUGGUUUACUUGAGCGUGAGCAAAAUAGAAAUUGCUGUGCGCGUGCAGAUGUGUUGGCAAAUUAUGCAAGGGAUAGAACAGUAGAGGUAGAAACCAAUGGUCAUUUGGGAAGUGAAAAGCUGGCAAGGAAAUGAAUAAGGGGCAGGCACGUUGCUGACUUGGCUUUCAUGGUCAAAUAUUUCUCUCACAAGCACAGAUAGCUCCGAAUAACUCAUAACUCGAGUUCCGCAACUACUAAAGUAUCUAUCUGUCUGAUCCAUCAUGCUCCCUGCUUGUCAUUUGGGGGCAUGGACCUCCAGACCCCGGCCAAGAUGCUACCAUACACCGAGUGGCAGAUGCUCGAAACCGCGCACGGAACCGCCGUGAGAGGGCUGCCGAAGUGCUUGCCCGCGAGAACCACACCCAGCACCGAGUUCUGCAUUCACAAGAUAAUCAGUAUGAUUUAUACACACACACACUGAAACUUCUACUCCCUCCGUUCCUAAAUGUAAGUCUUUUUAGAUAUUCCAACAAGUGACUACAUACGGAGCAAAAUGAAUGAAUCUACAUUCUAAAAUAUGUCUACAUACAUCCGUAUGUUGUAGUCCAUUUGAAAUGUCUAGAAAGACUUACAUUUAGGAACGGAGGGAGUACAAAAUAAAAAGAUAAUAAUUAAUAAACACAAUGAAAUUGCAUGCAAUGGGAGAAAGAGCGCAGCAUCGAUUAUGUGCUUCCUUCCUUAGUUGCACUGAUGAAAAUGCAGUUGGAGAUAUCUGGGCCACACUCUAUGGUAAAAUCUGUUUAAAAAACGCACAGCAGAAAAUUACCUGCAUGCCAACCUCGAUCGAGAUUGUUCGUGAUGAAGCGAUAUCGAUGCCGAGCAUCCUUGAAAGAACAUAGCCAAAGAAGAAGCCGGAUCCAUGCAAGAAGAUGACAGACAGUACCACUUGUAGGCCAGAUGCUAGGAUGGCUGAAGCAUUCUGUGCAAUCGCGUUGCCGCAUAGAACGGCUACUGUUGCCACAGCAAUGAACGGCAUCACGGGAGAAACUGACUCAACCAAACGGCCCAUGUACUGAUUAAGUAGAGCACCCAAAAGAACAGGCGCUAGGACAACCUGCAUUCAGAUAUACCAACCUUAGCCACGAACAAGGGAACUUAAAGUUAUAAUACAGAAACUGGCAGCACCUGAGAUGUCGACACGAACAGUCCCAUAGGGUCUACUGCGACGUAUUGCCCGGCCAGUUUGGAUGUCAAAAGAGGAGUCAUGAACUGCAUUACGAAAAAAAAAGGUUAUUUGGCUCUGCUGGAAUAUAUUAAUCGGUGUAAGUGAGUCAUUACCGCUGCAGCAAAAGUGCUUGCUGCUGUCAUCAGCACCGAAAGAGCAACAUUUGCCCUGCAACACAAGGAUACAAAUUAGGCUACACUAUAUUUUGAUGCUAAUGAAUAAAAUAAAGAGAUAUAUAGAGUUGUGUUCUCUUUCAUUUUUAUACAUAGUUAUAGGUAGCAAUGCAUAUAGUUUCGGAUCCACUUUCAUAACAGACAGGGAUCCCCACUGAAGAAUUAGAGAUAUUUACUAAGAUAAAAAAAAUAGUCAAUGAGAAAACAAUUUGUUCACUGUUUAAACUCUGCAUCAAGUGUUCAGUUCAACCAUAUUAUUAUUUCCUCAAAAAAAAAAUUAUUAGGAUGCUUGGGAUAAAUUAAUAAUAACAAUAUAUUGUGAUGCACCGAAUGGGUCACUUGAUCAUUCAUUACUGGCCAGUAAAAGUAGCUUUUUAGCUAUGAACAUAUCAAGAUAAAACCAAGCAUGAGCACAUGGCCAUAUGGAACCUGACCCUGUUUCCACCUUAAUGUGCAGUCUUAACAAAAACAAACCACAUUGUAAAUUUAUAUGUGAACUUAAUCAGCAAUAUUGCAUAACGUCCACAUGACUAAAUAUGAUCUCUUUGUUUUCAUUUCGGUUAACUGUUUGUGUCCUUGUGUUGCAGGGCACAUGUAGGCUACACUAUACAAAUUAGGCUACACUACAUUUAUGAUCCUAGUCGGCUGGACCAGUAUGGGCGGGAUAGGCUUGUUAACUGGUGUGGACUCCUAUUGGCAAAAGCACUAUAAGAGUGCAGAGACAAAGGCAUGCUGAUUACAGACAUCUGAUGGCUGAGUCGGUUACUUGUCAAGUACCAAUCUGGUAGCAGUCUGAGUUGGAGAUAGAAUAUUGAUGCAAAACUUGAAUCGAAUUCUGUUUAGCAGUCCAGAAGGAAGCCAGCUCAGCUCGCAGAUCCAGGAGAAGUAAGUAGGUUCUAUCACACAAGUUAGUAAUAAUAGCAGUCGCAAGUUAGAGGAGUCCUAGUAAGGAUUAUGUUGGCUGGUUCGAAAUAGGAUGACUCAUGCUCUAUAAAAGGAGCACUGUGUAACCUCCUGAAAGCAAAACAAUGAAUCAUACGUUCCCUACCCGUGCUUCACCUCUACCCUUUAGUGAUAUCUAAUCCGAAAUUCUUCACUCACUAGUCACUACACUUCUUCAGUAACUGCAGUGCUGUAGUCAAAGCCGACUACAACAUUGCUAGCAGACUUCAGAUGAUUCCUUGGCAAAAAAGGAUUAAUGAGUCACAUGCAACCAAUUUCUGUUAGCAGUCAACAACUCAACACUAGACAGGCCAGCUUGAAAAUUUGGUUAUUCAACAAUCUUGCGAAGAAAUACUCUGAAGAAUUCCAAUAUAUAACGUAUAAAACUAUAUGAACAAGCUCAGAACGGAUUGCAACUAGAGAUCCAGAACUUUGUUCCAGUACGCUUGUGACUAUAUGCAGGUUGUUCAAUUCUCAGAUAACAUUAUAUGUUUUUGUCUUUACCUUGCUAAGUAGGUAACAAUGUUGCUUGCAGUGCCUGCAGAGAGUAGCUCCCUUUCAGUUUAACUAGUUGACAAUCUAUAAUAAAUGAAUAAAGGGAAAAUGCAAGCAUACCUCCAGGGCAACAGGAAACCAAAAUGAGUCCAGCAGCAUAAUGGGAUGGCAGGUUCAAUAGCUUGCUGAUGAGAUAUCCUGACAGGGGCAUCACCUGUACAUAAAUCAGCCACUUUGGAUUCUUGGAGCAAACAGAACAGUUGUAAAUCACAAACGCUAAAGUAACAAAACCACAGGUAAAACAAUGGCUUUUCUUUCUUUCUUUCUGAGGGAUCAUGAAGUGUUUACGUGCACCGUCCAGUCCAACAUUUCAGAUAAGGAAUAUUUACGGUUCAUCCAAAUGGACAACAACAUUGCAGCUGGAUAACAAAAUGAAAAUGACAAUCUUGUUUAAUAUCUAGGGUAUAUAAUAUUCCUAUGCAGUUUGUAACAGAAAUUUUUAACACCACAUGUCCACAUCUAACAUGGAAAAGUGAAAGUAUGGCUACAGGGAUUAUUGCAUCAUCAAAAGAAACACUGAAGAAGUUGGAGAACUAACAGUGUAUUGAAGUAGAAACCCGGCAGCCAACUCCUUGGGCAUCAACAGCGCGGUUCUCAGAUCAUCAAGCGUCAAUGUCAUCCCCAUUCCUGCACAAAGAGAUUACAACCAUGUUUCGAUCAUAAAAAUUCAGCCAUCGAGACACCUCUGGAAGUCUGAAUUACUGCAUCUCAACCAAGAUGUACAGGCAGAAGAGGAGGAAGGAAGGAAUGGAGAAGCAGGGGAGGGAGCCAUGGAUGGAGGGCACGGACCAAGCAUGGUGAAGGACAGGCCGACCAUCUGGGCGGUGGGGGUGACCCAGAGGAAGCUCGCCGGCCGCCAGAGCGCGAGCGCGCAGGCCGACGCGACCCACAGCGGGAACCCGAGCGACAGCGCCUCCCCGACGCGCACCAGCGCGGCCCGCGCGCCGCCGGGUGCCUGAGAGGGCGCCGGCGCCGGAUCUCCCGCCGCCGCAUGGCACCGGGUCGAUGGAAUGCCGCGGAGGGGGCGGAGCGAGGGGGCCGCGCUGAUGCGGAGGCGGGGACAGGAGGGAGGGGGUCUGGUGAGGUGUGUGUGUGGGGUGGCGAGGUGGAGGCGGUGGUGGGGGAGGGAUGCGGCGGCGGCGGGACUGGGGGCGAGCGGUGGCCGCCGGAGGAGAGCCAUGGUGGCGGAGUGGAGUGGGGUGGUGGUGGUGGUCUGACCAGGACGAUGCCCAAAUCAGCAGGGUGGGAAGUGGAGGCGUUGGGUUUUUUUUCCCCUGGUUCGACGAGGGCACGCUACUAGUUCAAGCAUAUGUGGUUAUCAAACACCAGUAAAAAAAAAUGCUCUUAUAUUAUGGGACAGAGGGAGUACAUGAUACCACGACCACGUUUGCUGCAGGAAUUGGUUACGGUAUAUUGAUGUUUAUUAUGUUAAUAUGAAAUUUAAACAUGAGGACUAAAACUAAAAAUAUAUGUGAAUAUACAUAUGAAAUCAAACAUGAUCAAGUACAGUUAAUUUCCACCCUCGGGAAAAAAAAGUACAGUUAAUUUCCAAACAGGAAUGUUCAUUCGCAAGAAUAUAGUAUAUGGCACUUUACUGAAUGGCCACUAUUCCUCCUAAAACUUUACUUGUUUCCUAUUCCUUAAAUUUAGCUGCUUUAGUAGCCCAUGAUACUCCUUUACAAAGGGGGGGCGAAGCACCAGCAGAUCAUGGGUCUUGUACUUAAAAAUCAAUCAUCUUUCUCCAAAGUAUAUCCACAUCAGCAAAGUAUCUCUUCAUCGAUGAUUCAGAUCGGCUAACUUGGUGAUACAUAAGCAAUUGUCCCAACUGUGUAAUUGUAUCACAAGGUUAAUACUUGUCCCAAGCAAUGUGCGUCUAUGAUGACCUUCAUAAUUGUCCCACAAGCAAAGUGAACGUGACAUCUGGGAGAUUACGAGCCCUCGAGAGCCAGGAACUAUGUGAGGGCAAUCCUGACGGUCAAGUCAAGUAAAUUUUCUCUUCAAAACAUUUCCAGUUUAUAUGAACAACAGCUAGUCUAUGCAAAUAGACGCGCAAAUGCACAGGCUGCCCUGCUAGUUCAUCGAAUAACAGAUGACAAUAGCAUUAAGAUUCAAGAAUCAACGACACGCACAAAGAGUACAGUCAGACGAUCAUCUAAGCAACAUAAACGAGAUACACAUUGUAACGUAGCCAGAUACUCUCAGAACCCAACAAGCCGAUAAAUAACAUUGUAUGCUGUCAAUUUAGGCUACAUUGCGUCGAAUGAGUCUCGUCUGAACUACAAAAUCCAAAGGCUCCUUUGUCAGAUUGACCGCGAUCAAGCUUCAGUCUGCUCCCUCAGGCGACGGAUCGUGCUCCUGACAGUGACCGCACUUGCAGUGCUGGAAAUGCAGAACAACAAAAUGAGCACAUAUGGUAGAGCAGGACAAUGAGCUAUUUGGAAAUAUACAGUGUGUAACUGGCAUCAGCACAUACUUCAUGGUAUAGGCACCACCGGCCUUAACCUUCCCGCAGUCCUUGCAUCCCCAGAUUCCGACUGCUUUCCUCUUCACGGCAAACUGUGAAUCAAGAACGUGUUAACAUAAAAAGAAGAUUGAAUCAUGCGAGGAGACUAACAGCUUAUCACUAUUGACCUAUCUAUGAGCUAUUGAUGUUAUCAUCAUUUCCAUAUGGCUAGAAUUGUGUAAAGUGACUAGAAUAAAGAGAACUGGCGGGCGCUGUUCCAUAUCUAGAAAUCUACAAUUGUUAAAAGAAGCAAUAAGCAUUAAAGUUAGGAGGUUGCAAAAUCCAUAUACAUGUCAAUCAAAAGCUGUUCGGUAAUAUUAAACUAAAUCAUUUGAGAGUUAUAAAGGUUCAUCAUACAAAACAAUCAAAGCUGUUGUUCAUUGUUCCCUAUCUAGAAGGCCACAGUGGUUAAAAGACGCAACAUGAAGUAAAUCCAAACAACUCAUGACAAUACAAAGGGUUGCAAGUUGCAACAGCCUACAAUAUACAUUCUUUAUGUUUUGCCAACCAGCAGUUCAGCAUAUUAAAACCAAGUAGGUAUCCUCUAAACCAUCAUCAUGAAAAGCAAGAGCAAAUAACCUAUACCAUUAUGCACAGAAAGAUAAUAUGCUAAUUUCAAUCUGGCCAAAUGCCAAAAACACUUGUCAUACAACAUAAGACAGCACAGUUGAACCACCAGCAGACACUUUACCAUUCUAAAAACAACGCAAGUAAUCGAUAAAGCCAUUGACAGAUUUACCUUGCCGCAGAACUCACAGAAGUACUUGGAGUGCUGGGAGACCUCCAUCUUCUUGAUCUGCUUACGCAGACUGGCACCGUACCUGGUACCUACACAACAAAGGAUACGUGAGCACAAAGUUAGCUACAUUCAUGAGAUCAUUGAACAAUGAUCUGGGCAGCCGCAAUGUUUUUACCAUAUUUGCCAACGAUUCCAGCCUUCUUGGUGCGCUUCGUCUGCAAAUACAUCAGAAACACUAAGAAAUUAAAACAUUUUCCCACAAGUAUAGUAAAACAGCAAAAUGAGCUGCUAUCUACAAAAGGCAGCAUCAGAAAAGAUGUAUAAAUUUCACAUAUGGAGUUGACACAGGCAACAGCAAUGUAUGACCAGUCGUACAUAAAACGUCAGGAUAAUACUAUCAGUUGUAUGACAAGCAUGAUGUAGAUCAUCGCAAAUUAGCAAUGUAUGUCAUAGAAUGCACACAAUAGUGAGGAGAGAACUAGUGCUGCCCAAGGCCUCAUGCUAACCAAUCGAGCUUGGGAAAAAUGAAGGCUGAAGCUCGGAUUUCUACUGGUAAAUAUUGUAGCAAACGGUAGAAGUUGCAUACAUACUGAUAAAUAACUGUAACAAAUCAAGGAUACCAUCAAAGCUCCAUACUUCCAUUCUAUGGCAAUUACUCCACCACUAAGCAUAUCACAUUAGUAAAACCGGUCCCAUAAGUGGAAAAUCUAACUAUAGCAACAUCUUAACAUCCUCUUUGACAACGCAAUAAUAAUACAGUACGAUUCGAGCUAGCCACAAAUCGUACCAAGAAACACUAGAACAGGAAAAGGGCCGCCGGCAAAUUCACUCCAGAUCUGACAGAUGUUACGGCUUCAAGGAUGAUUUCUCAGCGAAGCAGACCAAAACCACGAGAAAAACUAGUAAUUUCGGAUCCUUAUUUCUAGAUCCCCGAGUAUAAGCCACUCACACGACCGUAAACCUAGAUGAUUCCCGCACCCCACACAGACAGGCACGAAGGCUGAAACUCUGCAUCCAGAGGAGCACGGAUCAGAGCCGCCGUAGAUAGGAGUGAGGGGAGAGCGUACCAUCUCUUCGGCGAGGAGGAGGCGUCCGCGACAACGGGCGGCGGCGGCGGCGGCGGCGGCAAAGAGGGCAGGGAGGCGGCGGCGGCGCGGGCGAGAGGUCUCGGAAUGGAGGCCGCGUGCUAGGUCUUAUACGUGUGGGAACACGGAUGGGCCUCGUUGCUGCGCUGGUGGGCUGGGCUAAGGCUUAUUAUUCCUACUUUGACCAUAAAGCUAGGUGUAGCCCCUAAAAAAAAGCGAGUUGUAGCCCAACUGGACUAUGGGCCACAUGGGAGUUUAGGAACACCAAAAUUCAAUUAUUAUUUUUCUUUCCCUAAAUUUUUAUUUUUCUUUCCUUUUCCCAGAAAUAAAGAAAUGCGUAUCAUGAUUUUUUUAAAUGAGAGGUAAGGCUCCUCACUUCGAAAUAAACCUUUUUUUCUGCGGGAAGUCGGGAACACUUCGAAAGAGACGUAGAAAAUAGUGAUGUCUAGCACUUGUCAACUCAAGGAGUCAGGGAAGUUCAUUUUCUAGCAUUUGUUGCUCUGAGAAUGUCGCGGGCCAUGAGAUGCAAAGUAAGUUCGAGUCAAUGAUUGGACAACGUAGAGGAUCGACGCUUGUCUGGUUGACUUUGGCCAUGUAAAAUGCAAUGUGUUUGGAGAGGAAGAAGGUAUGAAAUUAAAUAUUUUCUUAUUCAUUGUCUGAUCUUAUAGAGGGAGGACGUUUACUUAUGCCUCCCCUCCUACAAAAAUAAGCAAUGAUGCUUAAAAAAUCAAUUUAUUUUACUGAGCAUUGUUUACUUUGCUAGCAUGUGUUUGAGCCUCUGGAUAUGUACGAGCAAUUUCAGUAGGAGUAGUACCCGCAUGUUAUACCUGACCAAACGAGCCGGCCCAGCACGGCACGGCCUGGCCUGUGCUAAUCGUGCCUGGCCCGGCACGGCCCGCAAUGGCACGUUUAAUAGCCGGGCCGUGCCGUGCCGGCCCACGGGCGCUGCUCCUUGGCCCAGGCACGGCCUGAUUAGUAAACGGGCCAGCCCGAUGGCCCGUUUAGCACACUGGGAUGCACAUAUUCAGCAUGUUGGGCUGUUUUUAGGCCUAUUGGGCUAUAUUUUAGGUAUAAAUAUAUAAAAAAAUCUGAAAAUUAUAUAAAAAAUAAACGGGUCGUGCCGUGCCGGCUGGCGUGCCCAGGCUCCAGGCCCAGGCACGGCCAAAGGCGUGCCGCGUGCCGGGCACGACCCGUUUAGCCCGUGCCGUACCUGGCCCAUAGCGGGCCGUGCUCGCGGGCUGGCCUGUUUGGCCAGCUAUACUGCAUGUGGCUAAGAAAAGGUCAACAAUACACCAUUGAGAGAGAUCGAUAGGGAGCAUUGGCGGAGUUUCUAUGCGAGUGUGCAUGCUGCCCACCAUCGUUCGAGCCCCAGACUCUGCAUUGUGUGCGCAGGUGCUUCUUCUAUAAACAUAACCCGCCAAGGGCUAGUCCUGGUUGAUCUUAUUUUUUGGACAAAGUCUUAUUUUUUUAUAAUGUUUGAAAAGUCACCAGACCAUUAUGUACCAUAAUGGUAGUGUUGGUGUAAACAAUUUCAACAAGGAAUCUUAAUGC